UGCGGACGGUCUCCCGACCCUAGGCUGCAUCGGAAGUUGGGUAGCUGAGGGCGAUGGAGGCUGCUGAGUGCAGGGGUGGAUUGCUGUUUUAGGCCGACGGCCUAAGGACAGACUUGACCGUCGUGAGUUCGAGCUGGGAGACUCACAGCUCUGAGUGGCUAAGUGAUCGUCUGCUUCGAGCCGGGCCGAGGAGGGUUGCCACGGAGCAGCAGCGAGCCGUAGACUCGGGACCGGGACGCGCACGCUCCGGGCUCUUGUUUCUUCCCGAAGAGGAAAGGACAAGAAAAGGACAGCAAGAAAGAGAAGCCCAAGCUCGUGCUGCCAUUCCUGCAUCUGCACAGACCGCCCAUGAGGGCACAGCCUUCCUGACCAAGCUGGUCCCCACAGGUCCCACCUCCCAACACUUGCACUGAAGAUGAAAUUUCUGCCAUGAGUUCUGGGCACUGUAUCGAAAACUUAGCAUGGAGUCUUAGCCUCAAUAUCUUACAAAGUAAGAAGUGGUGGAAAUGAGAUGAGAAACCAGAAAGAGUGCGUGCGUGUGUAUGUGUGUGUGUGUGUGUGUGUGUGUGUGUGUGUGUGUGUGUGUAUUAACAUUUUAAACUGGAGUGUUCAAAUGAAGUCCUUUCAAAAACUUAAGGUAUUCUUUGUUGAGAGUGUUUUUAGUCUGUUUUGUGUUGUUUAAUUUCAACAUACAUGAAGAUGUGGACAGUUAUUUUGAAGAGAACAAAAGACAUUUCAGAGCCAUUGUUGAUUUUCCUACAGUCUAGUUUUGAAGGCCUGUAAUGUCUUCAUCACUCUGUUUUGAUCAGUUUUAUCCUAUUUUGUUUUAUAUGAAUUCAUUGUGUGUGAAUAUAUGGACAACUGUUUAGAAGAAAACGAGACAUUAUAGUAGCCACUGUUGCUAAGUAGCAAGAUUGGGAUGUGGGACCUGUUGUCUUGCUUUGAAAUCUGUGUGUUUUACAUUGUUUUCUUCUGAUCUGCUUUGUUCUGUUUUGUUUUACCCUCUUUAAAAUAAAAAAAAAACUUGAGGUAAAAUUUAGGUCACUUAUGGUAUAUGAAAGUGCCAUAAUCUUAAAUUUGCCUUGUGAAUUUCAGUUGGGUGUACCUGUGUGACCCUCACUCAGACCAAGAAAAAAUGUUUUUACCUUUCCAGAAGCUUCUCUGCUGUUCCUUUCUAUCAGAAAUGAUUCCAUCAAGAGAUAAAUUGCUAUUUUGAUACUUAUUACUUGGAUUAAUUUAGGUUAUUUUUCAAUUUCUCUUGGUUAUAUACAGAGAAGUAUUUCUGGGCCAUACAUAGGAUAAAUAUUGACAGUUAGUAGGCUGGAGCCGUAAUUGUGUGAAUGUUGGUCUCCUUUUAAAAUUCAUAUGUUGGAAUCUAAUCUCCAGUGUGAUGACACUAAGAGCCAUAAGGAUAUUUGGAUCUUGAACGUCCCAAAAGGCAAAUGGGUCCAGCAGCUGGGCUUUGGGAAGGUGACUGGAUCACAGGGGCGCUAUCCAUUUCAGUGGAUUCACUCACUGAAGGAUUCAGGGCUGAAUGUCUUGUUCAGAGGUGGGGUCUGAUCAGAAGAGGUGGUCACUGUGUAGGGUGACCUGAAGAGCAUAUCUCCUGCCUGGGCUCCUCCCUUCACUCUCUGGCUGCUGUCUGUGCCAGACCAUGUCACCUGCCAAGUGACCAGCUGAAUGGACUGAAUCUUCUGAAAACUAUGAGCCAAAAUAAAACUCUCCUCUUAAGUUUCAGCUGUUGAGCAUUGUUGUCUCAGUAAAAAGAAAGUAACUAAGAUGAGCCCUCAUGAAUAGAAUUAGCAUCCUCAUGAAUGAAGUUGAAGGAUCCCUUUUCCCACCUCUGCCACCUAAGGACACAAGGAGACGCCAUCUGUAAGGAACAAGGACUCACCAAACACCAAGUCUUCAGAACCAUGAGCAGGAGCUUUUUAGUGUUUAUAAGUUACUCACUGUAUUAUCAGGGUACUGGCCUAGAUCUCCAGUCUCCCAAAUGAGUGUACAGUAAAGGUUUAAAUAAAUGAGACAAGUGGUAUGAGUUUAGGGCUCCAGGAGGAUUACAACCCUUUGCAGAGUUCGAGACUAUGGGAGCUAAGACAAGGAAUGUCUCUGAGUGGCCUGCAUUUAUUUAAUUUUCAAACAAGAAAGGGGAUAGAGUGGAGAAUGCAGGAAGGUGAACAGAUCUUGCGAGUGAUUCAAGGAUUUUUCCAAGGAACAGAUUAUGUUUAAUUUAGGAGAACUAUCUUAUGUUAAUUUAGGAGAAGUAUCUUAGGAGAAGAUCUCCAUGUUGCAUUUCACUGCAGGAGUGAAAUGCUUGUAGCUACAGCCUAUAGUUAGUUAACUGGAGUUAGGGCCAGGUGUCCUCAGCUAUGUGUCCUCAGGUGUCCUCAGACCUUAUCUUGCCCUUUGAGGUGUCUCUUUGUUCUUAGGUCAGCAAGGCCAUGCCCUGGUCAUCCUCCAGCCUUGCACAUGUGUUCAAUUUCCAGUUUCAAUGGCUCCUAACACCAUGAUUAUUUUAAAAAUAUACCAGCAGGAAUGAACUAAAGUAUAAGCCUUUACCUGUCUUCAGGAAGUCAAGGACUCUGGUUCGCUUAUGCUCUGGCUGUCCUAGAACACGCAGUAUACCCGGCUCAGUUCCAGGCUCAGGCACAGUAACUGAAAAUGUCUGUGGAACUGUGUCUUACUUCUUGGCUUUGCAUUAGGGUUGUGUUUCAGGGAAUGGAGAGGUUAGGGCCUCUCUCUUUGUGCCCAGAGUUCCUUCUCUUCAAAGAACAUUUUAUGAUCUCUCCUUAGAUAUCUUAUACAAAGUUCACAGAUCAUAGGACCUGCCUGCACAUGUAUUUUAAAAAGUCAGCAUAGUGGUCUAAUCAUCUAUAAGGGAAAAUGAAAAAGAUAUAAUUUAUACUAAGAUAAUGAGUAAGUUAGUAUAUAGAUGCUGGGGUACUGCUAGAUUGAAAGGCCCUCUGAUGUUCACAGAUGUGUGUAAUUGUAUAUAGUAUCACAAAUGCAGAGUGAGGUAGGCCCAAUGUUCUGUAACUCAUACCAUGGAUUGCAUCAUUGUUAGCGAUAGGAUUUUCCAAAUGACAACCAGCUCUUGGUAAAAUUUCUCUCUUCCCUCAAUUGACUUUGGAAAACUCAUUGUGUUAAAGCUAUUUAGUUUGGGAAAGUCUGGCAUGCAUGAGGCUCUACAUUUUAAUCCUAGCCCCAGUGCCCUCCUAAACAAUGACAACAACAAAAAAGAAAAGAAAAGAAAUAUUUAUAUCGUAAUGCAUGUUUUAGGUUUUGAAAUGGAACUGGGACCUAGAUUCAGGUGAUUUGUUCAACUUCAUGAAUAUCCUGGGCUAUAUGGGACUAAAGCAUAUCUUCAGGGGCUGAGACUAUCUCAGGCAUCUUCAUCACAGAAUGUCUACUGCUCUGGACCCCUGACCAUGAAAUGCCAGUAGGUCCCUUCUUGUCAUAAAGAUAGCCAUCCCCACACAUUCCCCAGUAUGUUUGGGGUCAGAUGCUUGGUUUAAACUCAACUCCCAUUUUAAAAAAGAGGGAUUCAUUGCCUUGGGAAAGGAAGAAUGAACAGCUGGAAUAGAUAGGGAUUUAUACGUGAAAUAUGCACAAGGACCACAGUCUCCUGGCUCUUUAAUCUGUGCCAUAAUAUUUUUCCUGAUGGUAGCUGGGAGCUCGAGUAGAUGUGGGUUCAAACCUUGUCUCUGACCUUGGACAAAUACUUCCAGAAUAUUUAUCAUUUGUGAAAUUGAGACUAGAACUAAACAGACCUUGAAGGAUUAAGAGUAUGCCUAUGAAAUCUAGACACACAGUGAGUUCCCCAUUGUUUAUUGCCUUUUAACACUCAUUGACCUAAAUGCUAACAGAAAGUCUCGCUUCAUAGUCUUGGAGAACUACUGCCUUCGAAUUUUCCUCUGAAGAGAAGCUCUAACUGUACUAAUGACCCUGAGGCUGCAGAGAGCCCAGCCUGAAACCAGGUCUGAUAGACCUUGUCUUGAUUUGGGAUCUUCAAAAGCGGAAUCAGAGACGAGUACUUGAGUGCAAACGCUACAUUUGGGAGGUGCAUUUACUAUCAGUUUUUUUGCCCUCUCAGUUUUGAACUUCCUUACAGGUUCUGAAAGGAUAGAAGGAUUUAAAUAUUUAUUUCUCCUUUGAAGCGAGCAUGCAUUGGGGCAGUAGAGGGCGCUGGAGGAUACUGCAGCUGCGGGAAGGCCCGGUGUUUGCAGGGGAGGAAGACAGACCAGCAAGUGCUCGUUCUGCGACAGCGCAGUCUCCAGCCGGUGUAACCUUUGGACCGCCCCGUGGAUCUGCAGACUGAGCUGGCGGCACAGCCCGGAUUCCCCAGAGGCUCCCGCUGUGAGGGCCUCAACUCUCUCCCCGCCCUAGCUCCAGGCUGCCGACUGCCCACUGUUCCGGCCCGCUAGCUCCUCUGUGACCUGCCCUUGGCUCAUCUUUGGGACUGAGUCGCGGCUCCUGGCGCAUCCUGCAGCCCUCUCCAUGAGAAGGGCUCCUCUCCACCCUACUGCAGGAGCCUGCACUACCAGCUGCGGGUUACUCAGCUCAGCCUGUUCCUAGUAAUUCCAGAUCACCUCCGGCAGGGCUAAAGCCCUUAACUUCUCCACUGAACCAUGUGUUUUCCUCAAGAGGUCUGAAUCCUCCUCCAGUUCCUUUGUAGGGUACUCUUUGUCAGCCUUAGAGCACUUUGUAGCUUUUCCUUAAGCUUUACAGUUGCUUUUUAUCAUAGCAAAUCAUUCUUUGCACUAAACGUCUUUUAAAUUUACUAUGUGCUUUCUGUCUUCGUUGGACCAAUACUGUGCUAGGAGGCAUCUGUGAGAGAGGAGUCCAUAAGCAGUGUGCUAAUAACCGGGUCCCUAUUGCGUGCAUCUGGAGCUGAAUUCCAUGGGUGUCCUUCUGAGUCUUGGAGUCACGCCCCGAGGUAUUGCCCCAGCAGGGGGCAAAUAGGGUGCAUAUUUACCUGGGAGUCGCUGCUUGAGACUGGCUCUUGGGUGUGGAAUCAAGUCUUUAUUUUUUCUGUCCUGCUGUGUGUGUGGACUGUGCACUUGGUCUUCCUGCCUAGAAUACUGUUGAGGGUAGGGAGGGCCUUCAGGUAGAGAGACAUAGGUUCUUGGUGGCCCCAGGAGCGCUGGCCGGCAAGGAUGGGUUGGCCACACAGUGCUGCAGGAUGCUGGGAGGCAGAUAGAAAACCUGUCAGCUGGAUGCUGGUGAAUGGCUCGGAAUUAUUCGAGGGUGAAUUUUCCGGAAAAGUCAGUUGCAGAAGAUCAAAUGUUUUCCUGACUGCUGUAAUUUAAUUGUACAGUCGGUGUUUGCUAUGGAUAAUUGGAUUUUUCUUUGACCUUGACAGUCUUGCUGGCUUGCUGUCUGCCUUGGAAGACAGUUUCCUAACUCUCUCGAAUACAAUAAACCAGACCUGGCUUCCGUCAAGGGCUGGCUGGCCUGCCAUUUCCAGGGAUGCUGAUGGCAGUGGUAUCUGACCAGAAAAAAGUCAGUGGUGUUUGUUUUGCCCUUUACAAGACUAUUUCAGCUGAAGCAGAAGGCUUUUAAAUAGAAAUCUUGAUGGCAUAAGCCAUUUUAAUUCUGGGCAGUGGCCUGUAAAGUUUAGUGACAUCAAAGCUCAGUUCUGCUCUGGGACACAGAGAAUGCCAUGGAGGGAGGUUUGAAUCAGCAGGGACACCCGAGGGAAACACAGGCAGAGCACAAGGUCAUUCCCAGGGGUCAUUUUCAUACCAAGAUGGGAAGGUGGGGAAAGGGCAAAGAUAAACACCGGAAGCCUGUAUCUGGGGGUGAUGUGGACAGUGGGGGUUACUUUUACCUUCCGAUGUUUAAAUCAUUCACAUUUUACAAUCUUUUAAGUAACUUACAUGGUUUCCCAAGAGGAAUGCAUGUUCUUUCCACAUAUAACAUACUUAGUCUGCCCAAAAUGGAAAAAUGUCUGAGAUACGCUGUCCAGUGGCAACAGCAAUACAAAGGGCAUGUUGAGUAACGGCUGGGUAAGGAGGGAGGAGAGGAAGAAGGCUGCGGAGUGAACACUUGCAGGUACUUACAUGAAAACCUAACGAAAAUGUCACGUCUGUGUGUGAAUCACGAGGGCAGAAACAAGACUUCCUGAAGCAGGUGUUUGUAUCACUUUGUUCCAAUAUCCCAUCAGUCUAAAAAUAAAAAGGAUUUCAGAGAAAACUCAUCAAUGUUCAAAUAACGAAAGUGCUUAAUGAAGAGUGUAAUUGUAAUAAUGGACCAUCAUUACAACCUUCAAAAAUUGCUUUGGGUGGGAAAAUGUGUCCCAGAAAAUUCAAGUACUUGCACGUGUUGUGUGGUUUGCAAACACUGUAGUGGGAGGCAGGUGUGGUGGUUAGGGUUUUCAUAGGAUCAGAGGAAAAAACCUUUUUGUGUUUCUAUUGCUAUUCACUAUCAAAGCAGCAGGGGGAGGUGUUUCUCUGUUUAUCUUUUCCCCCCACUUUCCCCAGCUUAGUAUGCAACAUGGACCAAGAUUUUUUUUAUUUCAAACCUAUGCAUAAAAUGCCCCAACUUUGCUAGACUCACGUUGUUACUCCCUCAGCCCCCAAAUCUUUAGGGGACUCGGAGGUUCCAGCAGUCUGCUAGUGAUUAUUCAGAAGGGGCUGAUUAUUGGGUUUGCCGGUGUAAGGUCCUUCUUUUGGCUUCCCUCUGCCUCUCCUUGUCAUUCUCCCCGGCUGCCAUACAUCACUUGCCAUAAUCAAGUCACAGAAAACGAAAGUUAAAUUAUGGAAAUUCACAACUCAUUUUUUCAGUUUGCAGAUGAGACUCAGGAUUGGGAAAGCAAAACAAACAAUUGAGCUAACAAACAAAAAGAGUAGAUUUCAGACCUCCAUGAAUGAUUUUAAAAUGAACAAAAAGAAGGUAAAAGGGGAAAAGACUGAGUGUGGGGUGAGUGUUUAUCUGUGCAACUGGCCUGUGCCUGCUAUGGCUCCUGUGGUCCUCACGACACCGUAGCAGACUGAGGGUCACUAGGGCUGUUUUGCUAAGGAGAGCAAAACCCAGAGGUCUGAGUGACUUAGCCAACACUAUAUAGUUACAAAAUGAUAGAAUGGGAACCAAGACCCAGGCUGGAUCCAAAGAGAAAGCACUUGGGUAUUUUUUCCCUACACCCACUGAAUGAAAGUGGCCUCUCAUCCUCUUCCUUCUGUGGUCUUUGUAGCUGCGUUGUCACACGGCCUCUCACCUGUGCUGUGCUCCCCUAAUGUCUACAAAGAGAGGGAAAGAAGAAAGGGACCUGCCUGAGGAACUUCCCAGAAGCUCAGUGGAAGCUACUCUUUGUUGUCUGUGGGGCAGUGAUUUCUUUAGAAAAAACAGUAGCGUAGACCAGCCCAAGGUCAGAGCUGUGGACCUGAAGUGCCAGGGAGGGCACUGUGUUAUUUAAAAAAAGUAUUUUGGAGCAUUGUGUGCUUUGGAGUGUGUGUGUUUGUGAGCAUUCCACAUUCUUCCACGCACUUUCUGCAGUGACCCCAGGGCAAGGUGACAGCCAAGAUGCAGAAGGGGGCAGUUUGGAGCCCUGGGUGGACUGAUGGUAACAUGAGCUUAAAGAACGGUGGUGGAAACAUUUCACUAAAGCGAAGUUGUAGGAUGAUUUCGGGGGCUUCAGCCUCCGUACUACAUUUGUGGGGAGAAUUCUGUCUCUCUGCAUCUGUCUGUCUCCCCAUUCUGAUCAAGUAAAGAGAGUCUCCUUUGGUGCUAGCAUGAUACCAACACCUCCCUUGCUGCCAUCUCAUGGGGAAGGACUAGAGCUGGGCCUGAGGCAGGCACAAAGUCCCAGCCAGAAUUUUUGUAGCUCAUUUUAUUUUUCCUCAGCUAUGAUUAUAGCUGUACUAAAUGAUUAAGAUUUUCUGCUUAUCUUAUUGAUGAGGCAUUCUGUUUAAAGAGGUGUAUUUUUAAAAAGUGAAUUUAAGAAUAAUAAAGGAUAAUAGGACAAUGAUAUAUGCAUGUGACAAAAAUGAUGAAAGUGGCAUUGGACUAUGAAAAAUAGGACUGCAGUCGUGGAUUUCUAAACAUGUCUUUCAUCUCAGACUUUUUUCAAUUACAACUCGAUCAUCUGGGAAUCACUAGAAAACUUGGGAUAGUAUAAUAUCAGAAAAGAAAGGGAUAAUAAAAUUCAUUUGCUUAAAUUUGCAGUUGAUGAAAUGGAAGUUUAGAAUGAUGUCGCUAGCCCUGUUGACAGAGAGGCACAGAGACAGAGAUAGACAGACACAGAGACAGAGACAGAGACAGAGAGAGAGAGACACACACACACACAGAAAGACAGAGAGACAGAGACAGAGACAGAGAGAGAGACAGAGAGACGGAGAGAAAGACACAAAGACAGAGACACAGAGAAGGAGAGACAGGGAGAGACACACAGAAAUACACGGAGAGUGACAGAGACAGAGGGACAGAGAAAGAAGCAGAAGAAGAGACAGAGAGAGACAGAGAGACAGAGACAGUCAGAGACAGAAAGAGACACAGAGGGAGAGCAGAGAGUCAGAGACAGAGAGAGACUGAGACCGGUGGGGGCAAGCAGGGGAACUGAGCCGCCCAUGGCCUCGAUAGAUAUUGCACUACUUAAGCCUUUGAGUAAUUCAGGUAAUCUUGGUGCUGUGGAGGGAAGCAGGAGGAGGAGUGGGAAAUGGGAAACCAUCUUUGUAGAAAUGAGACUUCCUAGAUCACUGGGCAAGGGGUGUCCUUGAACUCUCAGUUCCCAACACAUGCUGCAGCCACCAGGGAAAGAGCUGGCUGGGUGCCCCCAGUAAAUGCAGCAGUAGAUUUUUGCAGUGGAAUGUGGCAUUGAAUACAAUAGGUCAGUGUUAAGCCUGGAUAAAAUGUGAUGACUGAUUAGGAAAGCAUGGGAUUGUGGUGAUGGUUAUCAGCACCCUCUCAGAACAAACAAAGCUGCAAACUGUGCUUGCAUGGCUGACAAAACUGGCCCCAUAUGGCCUGGUCCUUGGACAAUUUACCCUGGUCAUGCAUCCUCCCUGAGGAAAUCAGGUGUCCCAGGAGGAGAGGACCAAGUCUUACUCAGAGCUUGCUCUAAGGGUUCUGCCUCCGCUCUGCUCUCUCUUCACACAUCUGCUUUGAGCUUGGCUUUCCUACGAGCAUCCCAAGCUUGUGAAUGUGGGAUGCUUUAGGAAUAAGACAGCUCCUCUUUGCAGAAGGGGCUGGGAACCCAAUGUAUGGCUCACAGGAGAUUUAACACACGUUUGUGAGUAGGAUGACCAGAGGAUUGGGUAAAUCACUGGUCCUUGCCUGACAGUUGGUCUAGAGCUGGCAUGCAAUAAAUGAUUAAUCUCCAGUUCACUCCCAUUCCUCGCUAGACAACCAGUGGACGCUUCUCAGUGUCACUAUUCCUUUAUGGCUAAAAUUCAGGUAAGAGACUGUGUCCUACAAAUGUGUUCUGGAUAUAUGGGAGGUAAUGUGUCUAGUGAGACAGAGAGAGAGACAAAGGGAGAGACAGAGAGAGACAGAGAGACAGAGGAGAGCCAGGAGGUUGCCUGUUUACUCAUUUUAAGUCAUUCACUCAUUGAGUCAUUUAGUAAUUCAUCCAGUGAAUUUUGUUACAUCAGUUUAUAUACAAAACGGAAAUGGAACUGAGGCACCUCUUACAAUCUGGAAGUUGGAUAAUAAACAUGUAAAUAAAUAAAUAGCCAAGAUAAUACUCUCCAGACAUCAAAUAUGCUAAAAUGAACUUUUAGCUUUUAUCAAUAAAGCUGAGUCUUAAAUACUAUGCAUCAAACACUUUGAAAUACUUAUCUGUAUUAUGUAUUUAAUCCUUGCCAUCAUCUGAGAAGCUAAAUACUAUAAUUAUUAUCUUUCAUUUUACAAAGGGAAACUGAGGCACAGAGUUAGAGCAAUGCUGAGGGGAAACUUUUAAACAGUGUGGUCGAGAGAAACAUCUAUGGGAGGUGACAUUUAAGGAGAUGCCAGGAGCUGGAUGUGGCUCACACUUGCAAUCCUUGCAAUCGGGAGACUGAGGCAGAACUGCGAGUUCAAGGCCAGCCUGAGCAGCACAGUGAAACUGUCUCAAAAUGACCAAAAAAAGAAAAGAAAGGCCAGGGAUUCAAAUUUGCUGUCUGUCGUUAAGUCCUUUUCUAUGUACUCCUUCACAGGUUAGAGCUUCCAUGUGGCUCACUGUCACUGGGCCACCAUCUACCUGGGUGCCCUUCCUGCAGUCAUAGCAAGUGUGACAGCCUGGAAGUGAUAGACAGGGGUUACUGGGCGGGGCCUUGAACAGUGUUUCUCCCUCCCUCAUCCCUUGACCUCUCUCUGCUUCCCACUGCCAUGAGUGAGGUUGACCAAAUGCAUCUGAUUCACUUACUUCCCAUUUGAUUUUUUUUUUUUUUUUGUCUUUUUGAGACAAUGUUUCACUGCGUAGUUCAGGCUGGCCUUGAACUCAUGGUGAUCCUCUUGCCUUGGCCUCCUGAGUGCUGGUAUUACAGGCAUGUGCCACCUCUGUCUGACUUUGUUAGGACGGCUUAUUGAUAUCCUCUGAAUUUGAAGGACAAGAAAUUGUGACUUGCCACUAUGCAUUUGCCUGUGGAGAGGCUGGUUAUAGUUCUGCUUAUGAUGGGAAUGGGACAGAAAAUGAACCAGUCUUGGCAGCAGAAAUGAGGAAAAUCUCAUCUAUGCAUGGAGCACAAUAAGCUGCACAGCCUUUUACCUCCAAUAUCCCAUCUGGGUCUUCCAGCAACCUUGUAAAAUGAAUAUUGUUAUGCCUGAUUGAAAUAUCUGAGAAACACAGGCUGAGCUGCUACAGAAGUUUAGCCAAGGUCAUAGAGCUUGCUGGGGACAAAGGUAGUGCUUGAGGUUUUGUUAAUUGUAUAGUCUGUAAGAAUAUCUUGCUUAACAUGGGAAGCAAUCACAACUAUUUAUUAUUAUAAUUUAUCCUAGUCUUUUAUGGCUACCAUAAUGAAAAACAUAGACCAGGCUUCUUAUAAACAACAGAAAUUUCUCAGUCAGGAAGCUGGGAAGUCCAAGAUGAGGAAGCUCACUGAUUUGGAGUUGGUUAUGCUUGUUCUGUGAUGGUGGCUGCUAGGGUUGAUACCUGGGUGUCCUUCCAAAGCUUCAUGAGCUCACAGAGGGGGUUUUGGGGGAGGUGAUUGUAUUAUGGGAGUGCAACACUCUAUAGCUAAAUGGGAUGUUGGGAGGUGAAGCCUAGUCUGAAGAGGGGGGUAAUUUGGUGGAGCUUAGAAUAGUGCCACUCCCUUCCUCAUCCCUUGACCUCUGUGCUUCCCACUGCCAUGCCAUGAGCUCUUUUUCCUCUCCCAUGACCCUCUACCAUGCCACCCUGCCUUGGAACCAGAUAACUAUGGACUGAAACAUCUACAAACUGUAAGCCAAAAUAAACCUUUUCUCCUUGGAGUUGUGCAUGGUGGGCAUUGUGUCCCAGUGACAAGAAAAUAACUAAGACAGCAUCUUCUCACCAUGCCAUCAUAUGAUGGAAGAUACAGAAGAUCUCUCUUGGGUUUCUUUAAUGAAGGUACUAAUCUCAUUCAUGAGAUCUCUGAGCCACUACUCAAAGGCACCACCUCCUAAUACCAUCACUUUGUGGGGCUAGGGUUUCAACAUGAGAAUUUUGAAUUUCAUGUCAUAGCACCCUGUCCUGUGUCCCCCCAGAGUCAUGUCUUUCUCACAUGCAGAAUUCACCCCUACCAUCUCAAUAGCCUCAAAAGUUCUCACUCAUUUUAUCCAUAAAUUUAUAGUCUAAAUCUAAUCCAAAGCCUCACCUAAAUAUAUUUAGCUAUUGGAUAUGAGUCUCAAGAUAUGAUUCACUCUGAGACGAAUAUCUCUUUAGCUCAACUUAUGUGCUUCCAAAAUAAAAUGAUGGAAUGGCAUAGAACAGAUAUUCCCAUUCCAAAGGGGAAAAAUUUGGAAGAAGAAGGAAGUGGCAGGCUUUUAUGACUCCAGUCUUUGGAACUGAGAAUGAUCUUUAACUCAAGUCCCAGUGGGAUGGUGGUCCUACCUGCCUAGCUUUGGGAAACCUUGAUUCAUGGAUCUACUGCGUGAUAUACAAAAGGAGCUCUCUGUGUUAGCUUCACUCUCUAGCAGCCCUCUUCCUGGCUUGUGUCUUGUUAUGGCUUGUGUUAGAAUGCCCCUCCCCCCAAGCCUCAUACAAUCAUGGAUGCAGCUGAAUCCAGUAUUCGUGAUUGGUUCAUUGUCUAGCACUGGGAUUGGUGGUGUGAGUGCUACACCCGCCAAGGGCCAGAGCAACAUACAGUGUAAGGGUAAAAAAGAAGGCAUGUCUUUCUUCUUUUUGUGCAGUUCACUCUUGCUGUUUUUUGGGGCCCAUGAAUGGCACCCUGCCAUGCCAACCUGUCUUGGAGCUAGCUGAGUAAGGACUGAAACCUCCAAGAUUAAACUUUUCUUUCCCUAAUUUUGGGCAUCAGGUAUUUUGUCUCAAGAAAAAGAGAAAAGUAACUAAGACAGUGCCUGGGGAUGGGUGCUCCAUCCUUUGAAAGCAGCUACAUCUGCACUGAGUGUUGGUGAAGAUGGCAGCUCGUGGACACUGCCUACUGUAAUCAUCUGUACCUUCCAGAGGCAUGGCUUCUGUGACCUGUGCUAUAGGAGCCACACAUGGGGUGGCUGAGACUUGUUGCCCUUGAUGUGGGAACACAGCCUUGAGGAGAAGCCAGGACUGUCUUUGAAGCUGUUUUUUUCCUCCAGGUGUUAGAGCUCUGGGUUUAGGAAGGGAAAGACAGUCCUAGUAAUCUCUGAAAUACCUUUGGGUUACUCUCCCAUUGUCUUGGACAAUCAGUUAUGGAUGACCCUUACCACUUUUUUUGUCAAAAAAUGGCCUGACCUAAUUUCAAAUAUGCUUCAUUUUAAAUCUUGUUACGGUUAGACUGAUCUUUAAAUUCUCUUUCUCUCUAUCUUUGUCUCUGUCCCUUUCCCUAACGUCCUGGAAUAUUAAGCCCAGGACUUUGUGCCUGCUAGACGUGUUUCAGCACUGAUCUACUUUUCCAGCCCUUUUUACUUUCUUUUGAGUCGCCUUAAGUUGCCUCAAACAUUUUUAGGCUGGCCUCAAACUUGUGAUUCUCUUGCUUCAGCCUCCCAGCAGGCUUACAAGUAUAUACCAGUACCACCAGCCUUUAUUUCUCUUUUGAAUAAAAACUCAGUCUUAUCUCAUUUGUCUCUUUUUGUGCUUUACUGUAAGCAUUUAAGAGAAGCCAAGCUGCACUUUAAGCACUUAAAGCAUUUCUUUAAGUACACAUUUUAUGUUAGUAUUCAUAAGCUCUACCUUCUACAAAACACUAAGACACAUGCAGUACAGCCAGGUUCUCUGUCACUUUAUACAAAAGUUGGCUUCUCCAGUUUUCAAUAACAAGAUAAUCAUUUCUGUCUGUAAACGCAUCAGCAUGGCUAUUUCCAUUCAUUUGGCUAUAAACAUUCUGUGCAGGGCCACUUGAGUAUUUUCUAAGAAGACUGAGUUGCUCUCAGCUGCUUUUCUCUUUUUGUCCUGGAUCCUCUCAAAAUCACCUCUAACAGUCCACCUGCAGCAAUGUCAGCUUUUCCUGUUAUACACCCCAAAACUCUUCCCACUCUCUCCCAUUCCCAGUUCCAAAGUUGUCCCUAUAUUUUGGGUAUUUUUCACAGUAGCAUCUCUACUCAGUAUCAUUUUUCUGUCUUAGUCUGAGCUGAUAUAAAGUGGGCAGCUUAUAAAACAGAGAAAUUUACUUCUUAGCUCCCAGGAAGCUGAAAGCCUGAGAUCAAGGUGCUGGAAGUCUCAGCUCCUGCAGAGGGCUAUCUGUCACAUUAGGUGGGUCCCUCAAAUGCCAGAAGAGGGGAGGGGACUCCAUAUAGAAACAUCGAUCUUAUUCAUGUGACCUGUGCCAUGAUCUAAUCAUCUCCCUAACUUCUAACACCAUCACCUUCAGGUCUAGGAUUUCAACAUAUGCGGUUUAGGCAGAUAACAUUCAGACCAUAGCUGCCAAGUUCUGUGCCAAGAGCUUCACCUACACAGACUUACUUAAUCCUGUUAUAUGCCACAUGGAAAUCAUUUGGCACAGGGCCUAGAAUAUGGUAAUAAUCAGUGUUAACUUACACAAUUUCUUGUUUGAAUAAGAGGCUCAAGACAGGCUAACUAACUUUCCAAAGUCACACAGUCGGUAAAUGAUGGGGCUGACGUUUGAGAUCCGAACAUGUGCCAGGUAAUCACGCAGGCAGCUUUACCUUCAGAUAAUGACAAGUUCUCAGCCACAGUGCCUGUUGCCCACUCGCAUCAUGGUUGGUCCCCUGUGCCUCAGUGGGUGUGUGCAGAGAGUGCUUGUGAAUUUAGAGUUUUGUGCAGUGUGUUUCUGGCAACACAGAGUUGCUUUGGUAUUUCGUCUGAGUGGCUAUGUGAAGUCAUUUUGGCUACAGGGCUCCAGCUUUGCAGAGACUCUGGCACUAUGGCUCAUUCUGUGGUUUCUCUCCGGAACCACUGUGUUCCUGCCUCACUCAGAAGAGGUGGAGGAUGCUGAGCACUGGUUGGGGAGCCUUUUCUCCCAUGGUGCCCAGGGACGCAUGUUUCUUGGAAGAGGUGGUAGGAUUCCAGCCUUAUGAACACAAGUGAGUUCUAAAUCCAAGUUGUAAGAGUUUCCUGUUUUACCUUUUGCCAGAUUUUGAAACAUAAAGCCAUUUCCUAAGCAGACAAUGUCUUGGCAUUCUCCCAUCUCUCCUUCAGGCUUCAGCUUUAUACUCUCUUUGCUGCAUUCCACAGAUAUUACUCUGUCAGCCUCCAUGCUUAGCAACACAGAGAAAGUAAAUUGGGGAAGAUCUGGACUUUAUUUCCAGGUCUCCGGAAUACUGCAGGGGAAAAGCAGACGAAUCUUGGUGGAAGGUUUAAUCAAGGAAGUAGAACUUCAUCUAGGCCUUGAAAGAUGUCAGGAUUUUGAUAGAUGGAGCAGGAAAUGAAACUUGGAAAGCCAGACCACCAGAGCUAAGGCAUGAAGGUGAGGAAGGUCAAGGUGACAUAAAGGAGUCGUUUCAGACAAGCGGAAAGUUAGUGUUUGCAGUAGAGGAGAGGAUGACUGUAAGUUUCUGAUGGUCUUCUCUCAUGGCAGGGUGGACACAUCAAGGGACACUCUUUGUUCUUUCCAUUGGUACCCCCAUAUGGGAGGUGACACCCCCGUGACACCAACACAGAGGAUGACGCUUUAUGUCUCACAAGGUCACCUGUAUGAGCCCUCCUCCAUCAUGCACUGCUGUAGACAGUCAGGCUGCUGUAACAGAAUGAGUGGCUUGUAAACAAUAGGGGAUUAUGUCUCACAGCUUUGGAGGCCAGCAGGUCCAAGAUCAGGAUUUCAUACCUGAAGAGUGUCUGUUUCCUGAAUCAUAGAGGGCAAAUUUAUUUUGUUUAGAGAAAAAAAAGCAAAAUGGAAAAAAGUGUAGAAAUAAUAAACAAUUCAAAAAAGUAAGAAAUCACUAGUUGAUAAAUUACAUACUGUCAUCUUAGAAGCAGUUGCUCAAAUUACAAAAUCAAAGCAAAAAAAGUUGAACAAUAAACAAUGACAGUGCAAACCAUUCUUUUUGAUGAACUAACAAAAACAGUGUGGUGAUCUAUCUUGCACUCUUAAACACACAUACAGUUACAUCCUUUAGGGCACUUCCCCUUUCAUUAGCUCAGUAUCUAUUAUACAUUAUUAUACAUCUUGGAUCUUAUUACUCUUUCAAGUUUUUAUUAUUAUUUUUAUACUAGAGAGACAAUAUGAUCUUUACAAAUGUGAGUCUGAUUUAUUUCACUUAUGAGGAUAGUCUCAAGUUGCCUCCACUUACCUAUAAAAGCCUCAAGAUCAUCUAUUUUUUUAUAUCUGAGUAAUGUGCAGUUUUUUACUGUAAUUUCAUGUGGUAGAAGGGUUGAAGGAGGACCUCUCUAAGGCACUACCCCACGAAAAGGGCUGUACCUUUGCUGUGUAAUCACCUCCCGAAUGCCCCAUUCCUUCAUCCUGUCGCAAAAGGGUCCUAGAUUCAAUGUACAAAUUUGGGAGGAACACAAACUCCCAGUCUGUCAUCUUCACUGGCCUUGUGCUAAAGAUAGCACUGAUCACUUUUUAUACAUCACUGCCUUUGAAUCGUGUCUAUUAUUCCAGUUUUGCGGGGAAAGAACCAAGAGACCCAGAGAAGUUUUGUCAUAAGUUUCAGGUCCCAGGUUGAGUCAGAAAUGGUGUUGGCUCCAUUUCUGGGUGUUGUGGGGUUCUGUCCUUCACACUUGGUUCACUACACUUUGGUACUAGAAGGGGACUUUCCAAAAGCUGGCUGACAACACUGCUAUUGGCUUUAGGGACUGCGGUGGUCACUUGCAGAUGAAGGCUCAUGUUUAUGUCCAACCUGCAGCCUGUCCUCUUUUUUUAACUUUUGCCUUCUUUUUAUUUUCAUUUUUUUGAGUGAAGAGGAAUUGUCUUCAGCUCUAUGUAAAAUAUCUCCUAUAGUUAUAUUGGUUAGGUUUUCUAGAGGAAUAGAAUCAAGAUAAAUGCAAAGGGAUUUAUUAGAUGGGUUUACAGGGUCAGAGCAGGGAGAGUUCACGGUAGCCAUCUGAGUGUUGGAGAGCCAGAGAGAAGAUCCAGUAGCUGCUCAAUCCAGGGAGCUGGAAGCUGCAGAAUAGAAUGAAAGGGGUCAAGGAUACAGCAAAAGUUCAAGACUGAAGGCCCAGAAGCUCUGUGGAGAUUUGCUGGUGUGAGUCAACACUCAAAGAUGAAAGAAACUGGAGCCUGAUGUCCAAGGGUAAUGGCAAUAGCAAUGGAUUUCCUCAGAUUCCUAGAUUCCUCCUCCUCCUUCCCUUUUCCUUCCGUCUGAAUUGCAAGCCUGCUGGGUGGUACUCGUCAUAGUCAAGGCAAGUCUCCCCUGAACCUUCCCAGUUUGCUGAUCUAUUUGCCAAUCACCAAUGGUUUAAUCGUGUCUUCAAGGUUAACGUGUGGGGGGUGUUGAGAGGUGGGUCCUAAAGGAGGUGUGUAGCAUGUAAGGACAUCACAGUCCUGAUUGUGAUUCUCACAGAGUGGCUUUGUUAUCAAAGCAAGCUCUUUUUAAAAAAUUAUUCUUAAGUAUUUUAAUAUUUUAGAUUUUACCACACAUGAAAUUGUUUUUUUGCUGUCUUUAUUCAGGUAGCCUAAAAAUGUAGCUGAUUUUUGUAUUUUGACUUUGUAUUCCAGAUAUUUUAAUGGCUCUAUUUGUUAUUCCUUUUUUUAUUUUCUGGAAAUAAGUGAAACAAUUUCAUAACAAUAUAAUAGGAGAAUGACAUUACAUGUUACCUUUAAAGUAGUUGCUCAAGGUAUAGGAUAUGGGCAUAAAAAUUUCUCCAAUUGAUAUUAGCACAAACUUUCCUUUUUCAAUGAUGUGAGAGACACUAAUGGCAUAACUGAUUUGCAUUUUUUCCCUUUUCCCUACUGACCUUUCUCCUUUCACCCAUCCUAUUCUUUUUUCUUUUGAACAAUGUCUUUCCAUUUCACAAUAUCUAUUGUAUAUUUUGGACCUUAUAUACUCUUUCAAUUUCUCAUACAGAAAGACAGCAAGAUGUUCACACAUGAGUCUGAUUUAGUUGACUAAUGAGUAUGGUCUCAAAUUGCACCCAUUUAUCUAUAAAAACAUGAAGUUUAUCAUUCUUUAUGGAUGAAGAGUACUUCAUUGUAUAAAAGUAUCAUGACUUUUUAAUCCAUUCCUUGGUUUAUAAGUAUUUAGGUUAUUUCCAAGAUUUCACUAUUACAAAUUGCACUGUUAUAAACAUGGCUGCAGUUAUAUUGCUGUGGUAUAAUGGUUUCAAUUUUUCUAGGAAGAUACCCAGAAGCGGAAUAGCUGAGUCAAAUGGGACCUCUAGUCCUAAUCUGUGACAAAUCUUCUUUCUGAUUUCCACAGCGGUUGUUACCAGUCUACACUUCCACUAACAGUGGAGAGAAGCCCCUUCUUCCCCACAGCCCCACUACUAUUUGUUUUGGUUGAUUUUUUGAUGAUAGCCAUUCUUUCUGGGGUGAGACAGAAUCUCAGUGUUGUUUUAAUUUACAUUCCUUGAAUGACCAGUGAUGUGGAAAUUUUUUUCAUGUAUUUACUUGCCCUUUGUAUUUCUUAAUUUGAAGGUGCUCACCUUAGAUGCCAAUUUUUGGAUUGGAUCUUUGAAUUUUGGGGGCCUGGUCUUUUAAAAAUUAUUUAUAUGUUCUAGAUAGAAGUCCUUUGUCUGUGGGACAACUGGAUAAUUUUUUUUUUUACUCUGUGGAUUGUCUUUUCACACUUUUGGUGAUUUUUUUUUGCCGUGCAUAGGCUUUUUAUUUUUAAUUUUAAAGAGCUAAAACUAAACAUAACAAAACAGAACAAAACAGAUCAGAAGAAAAUAAUGUGACACAGAUUUCAAAGCAAGACAACAAGAGAUCUGCAGUGACUACCAUAAUGUUCCUGUUUUCUUCUACAUAGUUGUCCAUAUCUUCACACACAGUGAAUUCAUGCAAAACAAAAUAGUAUCAAACUGAUCAGAACAGAGUACUGAAGCCAUUACAGGCCUUUGCAACUAAACAAUAGGAGAAUCAACAAUGGUUGCCAUAAUGUCUCUUGUUCUCUUCAAAAUAGCUGUCCAUACUUUCAUGUAUGUUGAAAUUAAACAAUACAAAACAUUACUGGAUUUCACAGCAUGAUGGUAGGAAUCAGCAAUGGAUACCAUUAUGUGUCUUUUUCUUCAGAGUAGCUGUUCAUUUAUCAUGCAUAAUAUAAUCAAUUCUUGUAAACUGUUCAGGAGAAGUCCUACUCAUGUAUAAACCUCUACAUGUAUACCUAUCCUUUUUGUAUUGGAGGGGAAAACAAAACAAGACAAAACAAAACAGAUUACUAAAAAAAUAAGAAACAAAAAAGAUGAAUAAAUAACAAUAGCAGAUAGUCCAAAACAAUGACAAUAUAGGCCUUCAAAACAAGGUGAUUGGAACAUAACUAAGGUUGUUAUUUUACAUAAUGAUCUUCAAGAGUUUCUCAGAUCAUCAGGCACAAGUAUGCAAAAUUGUUCCAAUCCUAUGAAUGUUAACUGUUUUGUUCCAAGAACUUAAAGAAUUUGUAGCACAAUCAUCUCAGCUAACCUAAGUGUGUUUAUACAAAUUAAGAUUUUUUUUUCUUUUCCCUUCCUUUUUCUUUUUCAUCCUUUUCCCUGAGAUAUUAUUUUUUCCCCUUUGAGCAGAUUCUUACCCUUUCACUGUAUUUAUUGAGGAUUUUGUAUUUUAUGUACUCUUACCAUUUCUUACACUAGGGAGACAAUACGAUAUUUACACAUGUGAGUUUAAUUUAUUUCAUUUAUGAAUAUGGUCUCGAGUUUCAUCCAUUUACUUAUAAAUAUCUCAAUGAGGUAUUUCAGGAGACCAAAGGAAGAUGGUGGAUCGAUAAGUAGCAAAGUAAAGAGCCUUUCUGGGAGAAACAGCUCAGACGCUGGAGUUUGAUAUCAUAGAGAGGACCAGAUGAAAAACUAAAGCAAGGAAAAAGGAAGAAGGAAAGAGAGAGAGAGAAAAAAAAAGGCAAAGAGAGAGCUGGAUGGAAGGCUGUAGCAAGAUGUGCUCUAACCGGGGCUGAUCCCAAUGUGUGUGAGGCACCAUUGGAAGCUGAAGGAUGUGUGGUUGCAAGCCAGAGGAUUGGUGAGCCCAAAGGAUUGGAGAGUUCGAGGGCCUCAGUGGGAGGACAUAGUCAUUGAGGGAAGUGGUGGAGUGGAGAACGGAGCUGGCAUCUUUCCUGUUCAGUAGUCUUUCAGCAGAUUUAGUGUUUCUGUUUUAACAUUUAGAUCUUUGAUCCAUGUUGACUUUAGUUUAGUACAUGGUGAUAGGCAUAGGUCUAGUUUUAGUUUUUGGUAUAUGAAGAGCCAAGUUUUCAACAUCAUUUAUUAAAGAGACUAUCUUUCUUCCAGUAAAUGUGUUUGGCCCCUUUAUCAAAUAUAAGGUGUCUGAGUGUGUUUGUAGUUGUAUCUUCUGAUGAUAUCCCAUUGAUCUUCAGGUCUGUUUUUAUUUCAGUACCAUGCUAAUUUUGUCACAAUAGCUUUGUAAUAUAGCUUCACAUCAGGGAUUGUGAUGUCUCCUGUCUUGUCUUUGUUGCUCAGAAUUGCCUUUGCUAUUCUAGGUGUUUUCUGGUUCCAGAUGAAUUUUAGGAAUGACCUCUCUAGAUCUGUGAGGUAUGCUAGUGGUAUCUUGAUUGGGAUUCCAUGAAAUUUGUAUAACAAUUUUGGGAGAAUGACCAUUUUCAUAAUAUUUGUUCUUCUUCUCCAUGAACAAGGAAUGUCUUUCCAUUUUCUGAGAUCCUCUUCAAUUUAUUUUUUCAGGGUAUUACAAUUUUCCCUGAAUAGGUGUUUUACUUCUUUUGUUAGGUUGAUUCUAAUGUAUUUCUUUUUUUUUGGAUGCUAUUGUGAAGGUGGCUUCUCUUAUUUCUCUUUCAGUGUUUGUUGUUUGUGUAUAGAAAUGCUAUUGAUUUUUGAGUGUUGACUUUGAUUCCAGCUACAUUAGUGAAUUUAGUUAUUAUACCUAGGAGUCUUUCAAUGGAGUUUUGAGGGUCUUCUAUAUAGAGUAUCAUGUCAUCUGGUAAUAAUAAUUUAACUUCUUCUUUUCACAUCCCACUACUUUUAUUUCUCUCUUUUAUCUAACUGCUCUGGCUAGUAUUUUCAGUACUAUAUUGAAUAAGAGUGGUGAUAAUGGACAUCCUUGUCUUGUUCCUUAUUUUAGAGUAAAGGCUUUCAGUUUUUGAACAUUUAAUUUGAUGCUGGCUGUUUGUUUGUCAUAGAUGGCUUAUAUCAUAUUCAGGUAAAGAUAUCUAUUCCAUUUUUGUAAGGUUCUUAUCAUGAAUGAAUGUUGGACCUUAUCAAAAGCUUUUUCUGCAUCUAUAGAAAUGAUCACGUGAUUCUUAUUUUUGGCGUAUUGAUAUGGUGGAUUACAUUUAUUGAUUUGUGUAGUUGAACCAUCCCUGCAUUCCUGGGGUGAAUCCCACUUGGUCUUGGUGUACAAUCUUCUUGAUGACUUGGUGUGUUCUGUUUGCCAACAUUUUACUGAGAAUUUUUGUAUCUGUGUUCAUUAGGGAAAUUGCCUGUAGUUCUUUUUUAUUGGUUGGGUCCUUCUCUGGUUUUGGCGUUAGAGUAAUACUUGCUUCCAGGAAUCAGUUAGGGAGAAUUGCUUCCUUUUCAAUUUCACUGAAGAGUCUGAGAAGUGUCAGCAUUAAGUCUUCCUUGAAUUUCUUGUAGAAUUCCACAGUGAAUCUAUUUGGACCUGGGCUUUUCUUUGUUGGUAAGGUUUUAAUUGCAUUUUAAACUUCAUUAAUUGAAAUUGGGUUAUUUAGCAGUUUUACAUCUUCUUGAGGAAGCUUUAGUAAUUCAUAUGUUUCUAGGAAUCUGUCCAUUUCUUCUGUGUUGUCAAGCCUAUGAGAGUAGAGGUUUUCAAAAGAGGUAUUGAUGACCUUCUGUAUUUCCACAGGGUCUGAAGUGACUUCACCCUUUUCAUUCCUUAUUGUAUGAAUUUAAGUUUUUUCUUUCCUUUUUGAAAUAAGGUUGGCUAGGGGCUUAUCAAUUUUAUUUAUUCUUUCAAAGAACCAACUCUUUGAUUCAUUGAUGCUUUGUAUUGUUUUCUUAGUCUCUAUUGCAUUAAUUAUGCUCUGAUCUUUAAAAUUUCCUCCCUUCUUUUGGCUUGACUUGUUCUUCUUUUUCUAGAUGUUUGAGUUGUAGCAUCAGGUUGUUUAUUUGUGUUCAUGCUGUUUUCCUGAUGUGGGAAUUCACCACAAUAAAUUUUCCUCUGAGGACUGCUAUAUUACAUAGGUUUUGCUAAGUUGUAUUUGUAUUUUCAUUUGCUUGUAAAUAUUGUUUAAUUUCUUCUCUAAUUUCUUCUGUGACCCACUGAUUGCUCAGGAGUGUAUUAUUGAAUUUACAUGUGUUUUUGGGCUUUUUGAAGUUUCUUUGUCAUUAAUUUGUAGUUUCAUGCUGCUAUAAUCUAAUAACCUACAUAGGAUAAUUUUAGUUCUUUUACAUUUACUUAAGUAUGUUCUGUGGGCCAGUAUAUUGUCUAUUUUAGAGAAUGUCCCAUGUGCUGCUGAGAAGGAUGUAUAUUCUGAUGUUGUUGAGUGGACCACUCUGUAUACAUCCACCAAGUGUAUUUAUUUGUUCACAGAUGUGAUUCAGUUCUGUUAUUUCUUUGCUGAUUUUCUAUCUAGUUGAUUUGUCUCACUGUGAGAAUGAGAUGUGGAGGUCCUCCAUUACAAUUGUAUUAUUGCUUAUUUGAUUUUUCAUUUCUGUUGAUAUUUUUUUUGUAUAGCUAGGUACUUCCAAAUUUGGUGCAUAGAUACUUUUUUUUUUUUUUAAUUUAAGAGGAAAAAGAGAAAAACACAAAACAAACCAAAGCGGUGUAAGGGUACACGUAAUACAGAACUACAAAAAAACAACAACAACAACAACAACAACAACAAAAAAAAACAUAACAGUAAGAAAUCACCUGUUAGUAGAUUACAUAUUAUCAUCUUGAAAAUAGUUCCUCAAAUCACAGUAUCAAAGAAUACAAGGUGAACAUUCAAAUAGGGAGACUGCAAACAGCUGUGUUCAAUGAUCCAAAAACAUUGAUAUAGUCAGCUAUUUAAUACCCCUAAACACACUUGCUGUUAUAUCCAUUAGAGCUCUUUUUCUUUUUUUUUUCCCUCUCUUUUUUACAACAAAAUUUACACAUUUUGGAUUUUAUUACUCCUUAGUGCUUAUUACUUUUUUGGGGGGGGGAGAGAAUACAGUCAAAUAUGGCAAAACAAAGCUGUCAGUCAAUACCAAGGAUAGACAUAGCACAUGGUGUAGAACAGAGUACAAGUUUAUCAACAAUGGUUAUCAACGUUGUCCCUUGUUUCCUUAAAAAGAAUUGUCUAUCUCAUUAGAUAUUAUAAAGUUGGACAAAACAGUAGAGAACAAGACCAAUAAAACUUAGGCAUUGUAAACAUUACAGGACUUCCAGAGAAGACAAUAGUCAAACCAGAAUGGGUAUCUUAGUGAAUCUUAUUGUCUUCAAAGUAGUUGCUUAUGUCUUCAAACUUGAUACUAUCAUAUUGAAUGGAACAGAGUCUAAUCAGUCAAAACAAGAUCAUGGGAGUACUACAGGACUUCAAAACAAGUUAAUAGGAAAUCAAAAAGAGUUACUAUUUAUAUAUCCUAAUUUUUUUAAUUUUUUCUUUAAUUAAGACAAACAUAAGAAAUGACUAAAUAAUUUUUUUAAAACAAUAAGGGGGAGAUUGAGAUAAAACAGGACAUAACAAUAUAACAAUAGAGGUCACAGCAUGACUCUUUCAACAACCUAGUACUUCACCACCAUAUAACCUGACUUAAUAGUAGUUACCAUAGUGUCUUUUUCCUUGAAAUAUUUGGAUAAAAUUUCAUAUACUCUAGCUUCAAAUAUUUUCAUAUCAAGAAGGCCAGAAUAAAGCCUUUCUAAUUAAUGAGUGAAAACUUUAUAAGGCUUCAAGGCCACCUAAUGGGGAAUCAUGAUUACCACAUAUUUUUAUAUAUUUGAAUCAUUACUUACAUUAGGGAAACUAUUCGGUAUUCACACAUGUGAGAUUGAUUUAUUUCACUUAUGAGUAUGGUCUCAAGCUGCGCCCAUUUAUUGAUAAAUAUCUCAAUGUGAUCCUUCUUUAUAGCUGAAUAAUACUCCAUUGUAUAGAAAUACCACAACUUUUUUAUCCAUUCCUCAGUUGAUGGACACUUGGGUUGUUUCCAAGAUCUGGCGAUUACAAAUUGUGCUGCUAUAAACAUAGGUGCACAUAUAUCACUGUGAUAUGAUGCUUUCAGUUCUUCUGGGAAUGGUGCAUAGAUACUUAAGAUUGUUAUCUCUUCCUUUUGAAGUUUCCCCCUAAACUAGUAUGUAGUUACCUUCUUUAUCUGUUUUGCUCAUUCUUGUUUUGAAUUUCACAUUGUCUGCAAACAGAAUAGCUAUCCAUACUUCUUUGGUGGGGGAGGAUUCUUGUUGCAUGAAGUAUUGUUUUCUAUCCUUUGACUCUCAGUCUGAGUUUUCUUUUGUGUUAGAUGGAUUUUUUUGUAUACAGCAUAUGGUUGAAUGUUGUUUCUUGAUCUAUUCUGCCAGUCUAUUUCUUUUAAUUGGUGAAUUGAGGCCACUUAUAUUAAUGGUUAUAAGUGAUAUAUAUUGAUUUAUUUUUGACAUGUUAUCAUUCUGCUGUGGCUUCUUUACCUUGCAACUCUGUUUGUUUUCCUUGCUCAGUGGUGUUUUCAUAUGUCUAUCCAGAAUGUCUAUCAGUAUUCUUUGCAGGGUUGGUUUGGUGGUCAUGAAGUUCUUCACCUGUUCUUUGUCUUAGAAAUAUCUUAUUUCUUCAUCCAUUUUGAAGGAUAGUUUUGCAGGGUAAAUCAAUAUGGGUUGAAAGUUGUUUUCUUUUAAGAUCAGAAAUACUUCACCCCAUGCUCUUCUUGAUUUCAUUGUGUUAAGAAAUUUGCUGUGAUUCUGAUAGGCUUUUCUUUAUAGGUAUGUGUCUCUUCUCUCUAACAGCUUUUCAUAUUCUGUUCUUAUGUUGGAUUUCUAGGAUGUUGAUCAUUGUGUGUUUGGGUGUGGUUUUAUUUUGGUUAUGGAUAUUUGGAGUUCUAUAUGCUUCACUGAUCUACAUAUCAGUUUCCAUUCUCAUGUUGAAAAUUUUCAGCUAUUCUAUAGCCUCAUAUCAUUUGUGUUGUCACUUUCUUUUUCAUUUAUAUUUAUCCGUCGUAUGUUGUUCUUUGCAUCAUCUUGCAGCUGUUGAAUUAUUUCCUGAUUCCUUGUUAUGUUUGAAAGAUCUUUCCUUUACUGUUCACUAGCUGCAGUCUUGUCUUUGAGGUCUAAAAGUCUAUCUUCACUUUCAUUGAGGUGGUUUUGCCGACCUUCAAUGACAAUUUUGAUUUCCUGUGUAUCUCUUUGAAUCUGUUUCAUGCAUUCUGUUUGUUUCUUAUAUUGUUCAUUCAAGGUUUCCAUCUUUUUGCAUUAUUCCUUUACUUUUUUUAACUAUGUCUUCUUUAGAUGUGUUCAGCAUUUCUUUCAUUACAUUCAUCAUUUCUUCUUUACCUGGGAGAUUACUUCUGAUAUGAGUUCUUUUAUAGUUUCCCAAAGUUGUUUCUUUACUUCAGUUGCUAUUAUUUAAGGAAUUUUGAAUGUUUGGCUUACAUUUUCUUCUAUGUCCAUGUAUCCUAGGCGUGCCUGGGAUAGGCUUCAGGUUUUUCAAGGUAGGUUUUGAUGAUCUUCUGAAUUUCUGCAGGAUCUGUAGUGACUUCAACCUUUCAUUUCUUUCUGAAAGAGUUUGAGUUUUUUUGAUAAAAUUGGCUAGGAGUUAUCAAUUUUAUGUAUUCUUUCAAAGAACCAACUUUAUGAUUCAUUAAUUCUUUGUAUUUUUUCCUUAGUCUCAGUUGCACUAAUUUCUUCCCUGAUCUUUAUAAUUUCCUCUCUUUGGGCUUUAGACCUGACUUGUUCUUCCUUUUAUAGAAGUUUGAGGUGUAGCAUUAGGUUGUUUAUUAUUCAGUUUUCCUCAUGUAAGAAUCCACUUCUAUGAAUUUCCUUCUGAGGACUGCUUUUGUUGUGUCUCAUAAGUUCUGGUAGUUGUAUUUACAUUUUCAUUUGAUUGUGUAUAUUGUUUAAUUUGUUCUUUAAUUUCAUCACUAACCCAUUAGUUGUUCAGUAAGGUGAUAUUUAAUUUGCAUAUGUUCAUGGAGCUUUUGCAGUUUCUUUUGUCAUUAAUUUCCAAUUACAUUGUAUUAUGAACAGAUAAUAUACAUAGGCUAUUUCCUACUUCUUUGUAUUUACUUAAGCAUGUUCUGCCCACUAGUAAAUGAUCUAUUUUAGAGAACAUCCCAGGUGCACUCACUAGGAGAAAGUGUAUUUUGACAUUGGGUGGAACACCGUGUUGCAUCAACCAAGUCCAGUUUUUCACAAAUUUGAUUCAGUUCUGUUAUUUCUUUGCUUAUUUUAUGUGCAGUUGAUUUGUCUCAUUGUGAGAAUGAGAUGUUAAGGUCCUCCAUUAUAAUUGUAUUAUUGCUUAUUUGAUUUUUCAUGUCUAUUAAUAUUUGUCUUAGUUGGGUGCUCCCAUAUUUGGUGCACAUUUAUGACUGUUUUCUUCCUCUUGAAUUUUUCCCAUAACAAGUAUGUAGUGACCUUUUAAAAAAAUCUCUUUUAAUCAUUUCAGAAAUUUUAGUGUGUUAUUUCCAAAUUCAUCCCUGUCCCUGUUUGCUGGACUUGAUCUGGAUGGACUGGAAGUUUGAGAAUGUAUUUUGUUGUUUCAUUUUGGCAUUUCCCUUUGUUCCUCUGAAUCAGCUGGAUGCCAAAUCCUAGUUGCUUCCUGCUUUGGUGGCCCACCUGGUGUGCACUCCCAGUCCCUGUGGGCUUCAGAAAUGAUUCCAGUGUGGUGGAUUUCUGAUUGCUGCUUCCUAGUCCCCAUGAGCCUCACCUACUGCUGUAUUGUGUGGGUAGAUAACUGGGUGCAGUCUCUGUGGGCCUCACUGAGGGUUUGUAGAUAACUGGGGGUCACUGGGCACAGACUCUAAGUCCUUGUGGGCCUCAGAAAUGGUUCACAGAUAUGGAUAGGUCAUUGGGAGCAGACUCCAAGUCCAUGUGGGCCUCACUGAGAGUUCCCAAAUGACCAUGUGUUGUUGUGUGUGGACUCCUGUCUCCACAGGCCUCAGAAAUGGUUCCUAGGUGUGGAUGGGUAACUGAGGGGGACUCCCAGUCACCAAAACCCCCACCAAGGUUUCCUGGGUGACUUGGGGUUGCUGGGCAUGGACUCUUAGUCCCUGCAGGUCUCAGAGAUGAUUUCUAAGUGUGGAAAGGUUGCUGUGGGGGAAGAGACUGGAUUUUAUUUCUUGAUCUAUAGUGUAGUCUGUUUCUUUAAAUUGGUGAAUUGAGGCCAUUUACAUUGAUGGUUGCAACUGACAUGUAUCUACUUACCUUUGCCAUGUUACUUUGCUGUUGUUGGUUCUCUGCUUUCCCCCUCUGUUUUACUGCUUGCCCUGCUUGGUGUUUCUUUCUGUUGUUGUUCUUGGCAUUGUGGUCAGCUUUAUUUCUGUCUAGAAUAUAUUUUAGUAUCCUUUGUAGUGUUGAUUUGGUAGACAUGGAUUUCCUCAGUUGCUCUUUGUUGUGGAUGUACCUUAUUUCUUCAUCGGUUUUGAAAGAUAGCUUAGCAGUGUACUUCAAUCUGGGUUGGAAAUUGUUUUCUUUCAUCAUUUUAAAUAGUUCACUCCAAGUUCUUCUUGACUUGAGGGUUUGUGUUGAGAAGUCUGCCAUGAUUCUGAUAGACUUACCUUUUUGGUGAUCUGUUUCUUUUCUCUAAUAUUUCAUAUUUUGUCUUGUACUGAAUUUCUAGGAUCUUGAUUAUUAUAUGUAUAAAUUUAUUUUGGUUGUGGAUAAUUGGAUUUCUAUGUUCCCACCUAUCCAUAGGUCAGAUUCUUUUCCCAUGCUUGAGAAAUUUUCUGUUGUUACUUCUGCAACUAGUUUUUUUUUUAAAUGCCUGUACUGACACUUUUUUUUCAUUGACACCAAUAAUUCUUAUAAUUUUUUUUUUUGGUGUCAUCUUGCAGCCAUUGAAUUGUUAUUUCCUGGUCCUUUGUUAUUUUCAGGAGAUCUCUUCUUUCAUGAUUGCUAGUGAAGAACCUAUCAUCAAGCUCUGAAAGUCUGUCUUCAGUUUUGUUCAAGUGGUUUUGCCAGCUUUCAGUGGAAUUUUUAAUGUCCUGGAUAUCUGUUUGAGUCUGUUUCAUGCAUUCUGUUUCUUUUCUACAUUGAUCACUCAUGGUAUGCAUCCUCUUUCUAUCACCAUCUAUUUUAUUUUUAUUUCUUUGGUACCAAGGAUUGAACUCAUCACCCUGGGCUUGCCAGUUAGGUGCUCCCAUGGCUAAUCUAACUACCUAGCCAUUUGUUUUCUUUAAAUCUAUCUGUAUUCUAGAUUUGCUGAGUAAUGCUUUUAUAAAUGUUGACAUUUGUUUUUUCUUGCCUGAGAGAUUAUUUUUGAUGUGAUUUCCUCUAUAGCCUCAUGGAUUUGUUUGUUUACUUCAGUAGCUAUUAUUUCAGAAAUGUUAGUUGUGUAUCUUCCAUUUCCCCCAAUCUCAUUGUUUCCUGGAGCUAUUCUGUGUGAGUUGGAUACCCGAGGAUGCAUUUUGCUUCUUUAUCUUGUCAUCUUCUAUUUUGAAAGUUUUUAUUUUAUUUUCUGUGAUGAUUUUUGUAAUAGAUACCUUUAUUACUACUAUCAUGGCCUUUAUAGGUAAGGUUUGUUCUUUAGGGGUAUCUUCUGUGUAUAUGAUGUUCUUGGUUUGAAGAGCCUACUUUUCCAAUUAAGUAAAGGUAAGAUAUUGGUAUCUGUUUGUCUCAGUGCCCAGUCCUUUGGUGUUGAGGUGUAGUGAGGUUAUUACUCCAGAAUUUUCUUGUAUUAUUACAGAAGUGAGAACAACUGAUUAAAACAAGUAUGAUAUCCUAUUUAAGUAGUAUAAUUAGCAAUAACAAGAACAUCAAGCACAGUUUAGAAACUGACAAACCGUGGUAACUAUUAAUUUUGUACCUUUAAGCAUAGAAGCAAAUUCUACAAUUAUGUCACAAAAUGGAUGGUAAAUUAGGAGCUUGUAUGCAAAAUGUUUUCUCUUGGUAGAGUGGUUUUACCUUGUGGUAGGGAAAUUUAAGAAGGACAGUUGGUAAAAUAAAGAUAACUGAAAAGAAAGAAGUCAGAUUGGAGGGCAAAGGAUGAUCACACAAGCUUUGGGAAACUAUAGACUGAGGCAGAAGAGAAAGAAUAAAAGAGUAAACAAGGAAUUAUCUGAACUUGGUCUCUCAGUUUGGGGGAUGGAAUUAGUUUAUUGUGGCCAGAGUUCUCCCUAGCUUUUUAAAAAGAGAAAAAAGAGAAGGAAAGAAAAAGAAAAAAGAAAGAGAUAAGGUAAAGCCCCAUCCACCUGAUUCUAGUCUCUGUGUCUUUGUCCCCAAAUAUAACAUGGGUUCACCUAAAUUACCACAUAUUGGGUCAUGUUGUUACUAUUUCUUUUGAGAGUUUCACUUUGCUUGUCCUUCCUGUCCAUCCUGUGCAUGGUGGCUGGGGGUCUUAUUGUGUGGCUGAUGUUCCUGAGGAUUCCACUCAGUUUACCUGAAUUCCAGCAGCUUUAGUGAGCUCAUCUCUGAUCCUUCUUGCACUGUUCAGAUGGAUCCCACCAGCCACAGUUGGCGAAGCCAGUUUCUGGGCUUUCCUACAGUGGCUGUUGACAUGGAUCCCAGCAACGCACAUCUCUCUCUAAAAGCAAACUAUUUUACAUGUUGAUCCUUGCCUUUCUGCUCUUCUUCCCCACUAUGACUAGAGUAUUGGGACCUUCACCGAAAGCUCACGUCAUGCUCUUGGACUUGUAAGUGUGAAGAACCAUGAACUUCUUUUCUUUGUAAGUUACCCAGUCUGUAGUAUUCUGCUAUAAAAACAGAAAGAAAGAAAGAAAGAGAGAAAGAAAGAAAGAAAGAAAGAACUAAGACAUGCAUGUUAUUAUCAGUGUCUUCUAAUCAAAUGCAAAAUAACAGCACUGCUAGGGUUUCCAGAGAGUGGCAGAACUUGAAAAUGCAGGUUUUCAUAAUUUUUUCCUGAUAGGCAACUUGAUCUUAGAAUUGAGAGGCAAGUCUGUGAGGAAUUAGUUGGCUCUAAAGAUGGGAUUGAACUGUAAGAUUUGGUACCUUGUGUAAAAAAAAGUUGUUCAUACUUUGGGACUAGCUUCAUCACCUUGGAGUUUUAUGAAGUCCAGGGGACCGAAAUAAAGAGAUCCAGAGUGAAUAUAGAUAGAGUGUGGGGUAAAUUGUGUCCCCUUAGAAGAUAUGAUGAGUCCUAAUCCAAGUACAUGUAAAUGUAGCUUUAUUUGGAAAUAGGACAUUUGCAUCUGUGAUUAGUCCAGAAGAGGUCCUACUAGGUUAGAGUUGCACUAAAUACAAUGACUAAUGUUUUUGUCAGAAGCUGUUUGACGAGAGGGAAAACAUUAGGUGGAGACUGAGCCAGAGAUUUGAGCGAUCUAUUUAUGUGCCAAAGAGUUCUAGGGAGAAGACAAGAGACAAAUGUGGAAUAGAUUGUCCCUCUGAGCCUGAAGAAACUAUCAAGUUUGCAGACACUUUGAUUUUGCACCUGUAGCCUCCAGAAUCAUGAGACAAUACAUUUCUGUCAUUUUAAACUACAAGGUUUUUGCAACUUUGCUCCAACGACUUGAGAAAACUAAUACAGGUGGGAUGGGAUAGACAUUCAUGAAAAUAAUUGCUUUGGAUGAUGAUAAUUAUGACUCAGAGAGAAUAGAGGUGCAGCAAGUGUCUGGAAGCUUACAGCAAAGAGUAAUUUCAGAGGACGAUGGGAAUUACAGUCUCAGAAUCUCCAUACAAAUGUACAGCCUUUGAAAUAAAAGAAACUAAUGACACAAAGUGGUGGAUGUGAUAUUUUAAAUUCACCAAGAAUUGGAUUGGGAUGCAGCACUGGUAUGAACUAAAAUAAAAGGAAGACAGCCUUUACCUUCACAGCUUCUGCCUCUGUAGAUUCAACCCACCAUGGAUCAAAAAUACUGCAAAACAUUCUGUAUGUUACAAGUAUGUUCAUACAUUUGGCUUUAGCUUUCUAAAUAACACAUCAGAACAGCUAUUUGCAUAGCAUGUAUGCUGAACUGGUUAUUUAAGUAAUCUAGAGAUGAUUUUUUUUAUUUUGAAGAGAAUAAAACCAAAUGAGACAAAACAAAAUAGAGUCAAUCAACACAAAAAGAUCAACAUGGUACAUGACUUAAAAACAAAAUAUAAGGACAUCAAUAAUGGCUACCAUAGAGAUGACUUAAAAGAUGCAGGAGGAUGUGAGUAGGUUAUAUGCAAAUACUAUGCCAUUUUAUGUAAAGGACUUGAUAUUGUGGAUUUCAGUCGUGGAGAGGUACUUGAAACAUUCUCCUGAGGAUACUGAAAGACCAUGUUCACCCAUUACAUAAAGUGGCAUAUUGUAUAGAAAAAGUCCGAGGAAGCCAGAAAUCCUGGGUUUAGGGUGAAGAUAUAAACAACGAUACAUGGAGUGAUACUCUUUUUUGUUUUGUUCUUGUUUUUGGUAUGAAGGAUUAAGUCCAGAGCAUUUGCACUGACCUAUACCUCCAGGCCAUUUUUAGUUUUUAUUUCUUUUUUUAAUGAGAGACAGCAGCUCACUAAGUAGCCCAGGAGGAACAUGGAUUUGUACUUCAGCCUCCCAAACUACUGCGAUUACCACCAAACCUCAUAGGAGCAACAUUCUUAAAAGCAUACUAAGGGCUCUGAGAACCUCCAGGUAGACUAGGCCACAGACUGGGUCAUAGUCAAAAUGUUAGGGUAGAGGGCUUUAGUCAUCUCUACAGAAGUGCGGUGGGGCCUAUCUGGCUGAAAUCAAGAAAUUGUGACAUUUUUACAUGGUUUUACUGACAGUUUAGCUUACAAAGGGCAAUGACUAAAGAAUUUUCAUUGUGACCUUAAUUAUGAGCUGCUAAUUGCUUGGUAAAGUGGAAAUGACAAGAAUCUUAAGAUAAAACCAGAUGGGAUUUCUCUUUUUAGAGUGACCAAGGCUUCAUGCAGUUUAUGAAUGAGAAGUAAAGGAAAACAGAAUUGUGCAACAGAUUAAAAAGCUUAAAGAGCAUCCUUUUUGUAGAUGUAUCUGUGAGUGUGAUUUUUUUUUUUUAAAUCAGGAACUGAAUUCAAGACCUCAUGAUUGCUAGGUAGGCACCAGGCUGCUGAGCUGUAUCCCUGGCCUUUGCGUGUGAUUUGUUGUUGCUGUUGUUUGAGAUAGGAUCUCAUUCUGUAGUCCAGGCUGGCCUUGAACUCAUUAGUAGCCCAGGCUGGCCGCAAACUUGGUGAUGAUCCUCCUGUCUCAGUCUCUCAAGUGCUAGGAUUACAGGCAUGCACCACUAUGCCCAGCCUCUUGUGUAGUUUUUAUUGGUGAAUGAUACAACAUUCUAUAGGCUUUUCUUCUUUUACUCCCUUCCCCCUGAAUGCCGCAUAAUUCUAACUUUUAAGCCAAUUAUUAAAGAUGUUAAAUGCUGCAUUUGAAAACUGAAAUUUGCUAGUGCUAUUGUUGCCUAAGGGUGAAAAUGGGGUUCAGCUAGGGCCCCAUAAACUCACUUGUAUGCUGCACAGAGGUGGUGAGCACUCUUGCGGUUUUCUGGAAGGACUCAUGGUAUCACUAAGGACGCUGGCAGGAUGUGCUUUUAAUCUGUCCAGUAUAGAUGGCUGUUUGCUUUGAUUCCCCAGUAUUAAUUUAGACUGUUAAACAUUGCUAGAUAAAUCUUAUAAUAUUUUGCUAGCACUGUGGUGUGAAAUGAAAAUAAUGGUAUCAUUUGUAUAUGUUGAAACUAUAGUUUUCCAAAAAUUACAUCUUUGGUUAUGCACUCUUAUGUAUAAUAAUUUGAAAUAGUGACUUUCUAUGGUAAAGCAAAGGUAUGCAGUGCUUAUACCCUCACCAAAUACACUGUAUUUUACAAUGAGCAGUGUGGAUCAUGGUCUUGUGUAAACUAUUUAAGUCCCUCUUUCGUCUAUGAACUGGUAUAACAAGACCCACCUCAGUGAAGAUUGCAUGGCAUCAUGUAUGCAUAUUGUUUGAACAGUAAUGUAAAAUAUUGAGGAUUUUACAAUGUAAGUUUUUCUAAAAUGUCAAAUAACAUUUGAAUUAAAAUGAAAGAAAACCCUUUCAUGUAUUGUUUUUUAAUAAAUGGAAACCAUAUGUAGGCUAUUUUAGCUAUCUAGGCUAUUUUAGUUAUCUGAGGCUAUUUUAACAAAUGUUUUAGAACUUUAAAUGCAUGUAUGUACUGUGCUCACCGACAAUAAAAUGGUGACAGUGUUAUUUACUGCACUCUGUGAGCAUACGGGUGAAAUUUCUGUACAACUUGUGUCUUGUUUUACACACCUCAAAGGAAGUGUUCUAUAAAAGAAGAAAAGCAUUCAAAACAUUCAGAUGUGUAUCAUUCGUGAAAGUCUCUAAGUGUUUAUGAGGCAAAGUAGACAGUACUUUGCACAAAUUCAAACUAUUCCACUAGUGGAAACCUUAGAAAAAGGGCUUUGAAUCCAGGGCUCUGUUUGAAUCAAGAUCCAUUAAUAUAUUAUGUUAACAGAUGUGCCAUUGGUGCAAUUGGAUUUUCAAAGAAAUGGCUAGUUUGUAUUUUGAAAUGAGCAGCUUAUGUUAUGCUUGAAAAGGAAGACAGUGGUGAAUUUAGGAGAAAAUAUUUUCCUAAUGGUUACGUAUUAAUGGUGGUCAAAGAUAAUAAUGACUGUCAACUAGUCAGCACCAACCACUUCCGACACAUAUGACCUAGAUAUGGUCCUUUGAUCUUCCCUUAGAGCUGCCUCGUUUUUUUUUUUUUUUUUUUUUUUUUUUUUGCUUAAAUUUCAGGUGUGGCAAGAGUCUCGCCUUCUCCAUAUGUGGCCCAUGAGUUACCAUGAACAGCGAUUUUAUCACUUUGUCUUUCUUUCAAAAAAAGGUAAAGUGAGUUAUUUGGUGCCAUCUAUGAAAUAUGUGGAGGAUUAGGAGCAGGGAACUCCAAAUUCUGUGGAAAUAAGUGAAGACCAAACAAAUAAGAACAAGCAGGGUCUGUUACUGAGAGUUUGCUGCAGCAAGGAAAUCCACCACUGUCAUUUGUGUUUUGACAGAAUCAACAGCAGGUAAAGUGGGGAGCCCAAAUAUGUAGCAGGGAAAGGAGGGGAAGGUUUCCAGUGUGCUUAUGUUGGGGCUCACAAGCCUGAGGAACCUGAAAGCAGCUAACUAGAAGCAGGGCAUCCUAUGGAGCUAGUUGGAGAUAUACAACUCAUGGGCUUUAGUUGGCCCUCUGUUGGGACCAGAGACAAAAAAUAAGAAAGCUGUCAUUAUUAAUUAUGUUCUGGUUGUUUUGGGGUGAUUGUUAUAGGAGUUAUUGUUUGGUUUCCUGAACCACCUGCUAGCCCAUGGGGAAUAAUGCUAAUUUUGGCAUAAAGGCUUGUUGUGGGUGUAAAAUACCCACACUUAUUCUUUAGAAUAUUUCUAUUGAUGAAAUUUUAAUUUUAUGAGCUUUAUUAUAGUAAGUUAUGAGUAUUUAACAGGAGAAAAUAUAAAAAAUAUUUAAUUUUUAAUAUUUAAUAAGUGUUUAUUAAAAAAGCAUCAGCAUUUUCAACAUCAACUGUUUUCUGGUUUACAAAGUCAAAAAAACAACAGAAAUUUCCUAUAUGAACUACAAUGAAAAUACAAAUAGCAUUCUACAAAAGAAACCUUACUUCAAUUAUCACACCUAAGGCAGUCUUCACACAUGACAUCAGUAUAUUUCAUACAGAUGUGUUGCUUACACUGACAGCACAUGUGUUUUGCUUUCCUGGCCUUUUUUGUAGAUAUACUUGACAUUGACUGGUCUUGCUGUUUGCUCAGGAGGUUCUUAUUAUAUUAUAUUAUGUGUAGUUAACAGGAACAAAAAAUAUUCAUAAAUUAUUAAAUUCUUAAUAUGUAGUACACUUUUAGAAUAAACAACAUUUUCACAUUAACUGUGUUCUUGCUUACAAAACCUAAAAGAUAAUAUCAGAAAUAAGUUCCUAUAUGAACUAAAGUGAAAAUAUCAAUGAAAGUCUGUAAAAAGUCUUUCUUUCAAUUUUCUUUACACAUUACAACUGUAUGCUUCAUGCACACAUCUCCCUUACACAGAGUACUUAGCUGUCUCUUCCUGCAUGGCAAACCAUUCUUGUCAACUCUGUUGUUUUUCUGUUUUGUCAGAAGUUUUCUACCAUAUUAUAUAAUGUGCACUUAGCGGGCACAAAUUUUUGCAUUUGCCGUGCGCAGAAACAUUCUGCUUUUCCUUUGCUGUAAAUGAUUGCUUAUGAGCUCCAAUCCCUAUCCACUAAGAAAAUUUCUCUGUGAUACUUGCACUUGUUAUUUCUUUUUUUAAUAAACCAUCAAACCAUUUGAACCACACAUGUAGGAUCAAGGAAAAUACAACCCUUGGCCAAUUCUUUGUGUUUCAAGUGACAUCAUAGUUGCGGCAUAAAAUAAUUAACAUCUUUUCCAUCUUUGGUUUUGGGUUACCAUAGUUCAGCCAAAAGAGGUGUCAUAAUUAAUACAUUUUUAAGUAUGGCUAUUGGUACAUGUAGAGCAUUUUACCUGCAUUUCGGCAUUUGUAUAACAUGUUGUAGCAUUUCACCUGUUACAAACAAUCUCCAACACUGAAUCAUCUCUGCUAAGUUCCUCAUUAUGUUUUAAGACAUAGUUCUAACUUUGGACCAUUCCAUUUGGUUGAAUGACCAUCUUGUACUAUUUUGGCUAGUCAAAUAUGUACUUAACAACUGUGUUCUCCAGCGUCUGAAAGCCCUGCAUUCUCUUUGUCUAUAUUGGUUAACUCUUACUCUGUUUCACUGUCACAGAAACUUUGGCUCAUAUGACCAACAUCAAAGUCAUUAUCAUCUUCAUCACCCAUGCAUGAGCAAUCUGAUGAUUCACUUUCAACCUCCUCUAAAACUUGCAAAUCUGGUUUUUCAGGGCUAUUUCUACCAGAAAAUACAGAAAUGAUCUUUUUAAAAACAAGUCCUAGAUAGACAAAGAUUUAACAAUGAGUAUUUUAUAGAUUAAACUCACCCAUUGCUGCUUUGGAGCUCCCUUACAAAAUGGGUGAAAACCCAGAUGGUUUUUUGCUCUCCCUCCACAAGGUGCUAUGAGGUACAUCCACAUUCCAUUAUGGUACAGUACAUGUUUACAUAACAGAAGAGUGGUCUGGGUGUAUUUUAACCCCAGUAAUGCUCAGAUAAACAUGCAAAACCUGUUAGAUGGAGCAUUAUGUGAGUAAAAGUCCCAGUUUGACACUUUUGCACAGGUACAUACAACUUGCCAUUCAUUUUACCAAGUGAGUAAACACAUAGAUUGCUUCCUGCAUUCCCCGGGUACAGCUACUGAGACACACAGCUGGUUAUGAUUAUGCUACAAUAUGAACAGUAGAAAAGUAUGCAAUGAGUUGUUGUAGUCCAAUGUUAUGCCUUAUGCGUUGGAGAUAGUUGUUUGACUCCUAGAACUCUGAAUAACAGUAGGAGGCUGAUUUUUAGCCUGAUUCUACAGAUAACAGAGUGUUUCUCUGGACUGGUUGCUGCAGAUUAUGUCUCAGAGUUCUUAUGGUCCAUGUGAUUUAUUUGUAGAUAUAAUGUCUGUUAAUCUAUCUAUCUUCUUUCUGGAUCAGGGCUCAGCAAAUUUUCUGUAAAGAGCCAGAUAUAAGACUUUUUUUUAGCUUUGUGAGCUAUAUAGUUUCUCCUGCAGUUACUGAACUCUGAGAUUUUAGCACAAAAUCAACCACACACAGCAGGUAAACUCAUGGAUUUUGCUGUGUUUCAAUAAAACUCCCUUUUCAAAACCAAGCAACAGGGUCAUUUUGGACCUGUGGCUCUCUUACACUGGCCCUGGUUCUAGAGUGAAAAAUUUGCACAAAUCAAGAAAUAUGCAAAUAACAGCUUUCCCCUGUAUUUUGACUCAUUCCCUUUCAACCUGCUUAAUGCUGGAGGAGCUAUGAUCUUUGUGGUCUAGUUUCUGAGUGGUAUCACUUGCAGUAAGCACAGUUCUAUAACUGAAAAAUUUAAAAAUUCCAUUAUUCUUCCUUUUUUGGGUCAAAUGCUAUUUUAUGCCAUCUAUUUAAUAGCUGAAAAGAUAGUUCUUAUCUUACUGCUUUCCUUUAGUUUCAUUCCUUAAUUUUUCUAUUCUUCCAUGUUUUUUUUAUCUUGAAAAGAACAAAACCAAAUGAGAUAAAACAAAAUGGAAUCAGUCAAAACAAAAGGAUCAACAUGGUACAUGCUAUUUUUCUGCCAUUGGUUGCCUGGUACAUGGUACAUGGUACAUGGUACAUGGUAAAAUAAAGGAGAUCAAUAAUGGCUACGAUAAUGCUUCAUGUUAUCUUAAAAAGAAUUGCCCAUAUCACCAGGCAAAAUAAAAUCAAACAAAAUAGUCCAGAACAAAACCAAUAAAAACAAAACAAUGGAGAUACCAUAGGACUUCAAAAGAAGAUAAUAGUCAAACCACAGUGGAUAUCAUAGUGCAUCUUACUGUCUUCAAAGUAGUUGCCUAUACUAUCAGACGAUACAAUAAAAAAAACCAGAAUCUAAUAAAAUCAGUCAAAACAAAACAAUGAAAGCAACACAGGGCUUCAAAUCAAGCUAAUAGGAAAUAAAAAAUGGUUACUAUACUAUAACCUGUUAUCCUUGGAAUAGCUGUCCAUGCCAUCAAAUGUAAUACAAGUAGACAAACAAACAGAAUAAAACCAAAGUAAACCAAAUAAUGAAAACAAUAUGGGUUUCAAAUCAUGAAAAUAGAUUAACAAUGACCAGUGCCUUCCUUUUUUAGACAAUUCCUCCCCUUUCACUUUCACAGGAUGUAUUAUGCAUUUGGAUCCUACUAACUCCUUUAGUUUUUAUAUUAGGGAGACAGUCCGCUAUCUACCUAACUGACUUGCUGAAACUGUUUUACCCUGAGCAUGAUCUCAAAUUGUAUCCAUUUACCUACAAAAGUCUCAAGAUUUUCUUUCUUUAUAGGUGAGUAGUUUUCUGUUGUAUAAAAGUGUCAUGGCUUUCUAACCAAUUUACAGCUGCUGGGCAAGCUACCCCCACUGUUUUUUAGUUCCCUGUCACAUAAAGCAUUGUCUUCCUCUCCUUUGACUUUCAGUCUAUAAACCCCCUUUUGGAUUAAAUGUAUUUCUUAUAUAAAGCAUAUUGAUGGAUCCUGUCUCCUGAUCCACUGUGGCUAUGUUUUUUCCCCUGCCAUUUAUAUUAGUGGUUAUGACCAACCUUCUCUGCCUUCUGUCUGACAUGCUAUUUUUCUGCCACUGGUUGCCUUCUUUCCCCUUCAUUCCACUGUCUGACCCUUUCAGUGAGCCUCCACUGCUGCUAUUCUUGAAACCAUGGUAUUUUCUUUUACUCUCUAGAAUGUCCUUCACUAUUUUUUGUAGGGUUGGUUUGGUGGUCAUGAAUUUCUUCAGUUCUUUGUCAUGAAAGUAUCUUGUUUUGCCAUUAAUUUUGAAAGAUAGUUUUUCAAGAUACAUCAAUCUGGUUUGGAGAUUAUUUUCUUUCAGGGCUUAGAAUACUUCAUUCCAAGUUCUUCUUGAUUUGAUGGUUUGUGUCAAGAACUCAUGAUUCUGAUGGGUUUUCCUUUACAGGUGAUCUGUUUCUUUUCUCUGACUGCUUUUAAUAUUUGUGUUUGUGAUGAAUUCUGAGAUUUUGAUUAUUAUAUGUUUAGAUGUAGAUUUAUUUUGGUUAUAGCUGGCUGGAGUUCUGUAUGCCUCACUUAUCUGAAUAUCAUUUCCUUUUCCUAUGCUUGUGAAGUUUUCUUUAUUUCUGUAAAUAGCCUUUGUAUUUCAUUUGUGUUUACAGCUGUUUUUUCACUCACAUUUUUUAUUCUUAAAUUAUAUUCUUUCAUGUCAUCUUCCAACCUUUGUAUUGUUGCUUUCUGGUUCCUUAAUUUUUGAGAGAUCUUUCCUUUCAUGAUUGCAAGCUGCUAACCUGUCUUCAAGUUUUAAUAGUUAUCUAGUUUCUUUCAAUCUGUUUUGCCAGCUUUCAGUGGAGUUUUUAAUUUCCUGGUAAUCUCUUUGGAUCUCUUUCAUGUAUUCUAAGUCUUUUUAAUAUUCCUCAUUGAAGGUUUGCCUCAUUUUCCUAUGCUCCUCUAUUCUUCCAUCUGUGUCUUCUUUAGAGGUGCUUAGCAUUCUUUAACUAUAUUUCUCAUUUCUUUUUUUAUCUGAGAUAGUAUCUCUGUCAUAAUUUCUUUUAUAGCUUCUUGAAGUUAUUUAUUUCAGUUGUUGUUGCUUCAGAAACUUCAGGUGUGCAAUUCCUGAUGUCUUCUGUGUAAACACAGACAGUGUUCACUGGACCAGUACUGCUUGGGUUGGAGGCCAGGGACUGCCUUUUGUUUCUUCCUCUUGUCACACUCCUGGUUUCUUCUGGACAUGUGGGUCUUGGUGUCCCUGGUACUUCCUGUGCUGGCUACAUUUUUUCUGAAGUGAGACUCUUUCUCUUUCUAGCCCAUGUUGAUAUGUGAUAUCUGAUGUGACCACUGGGUGCACUGGUAUAGGCUGUUUGCUGCUUUUCCCAGCCAGCUUUGGCUUACCAGUGGCUGCUGGAGUGCAAGCAGGGGUGGGGAAAGCUGUUGCCUCCCUCCCAGGCUGGUUAACAGCAGGGAGCCCUUACCAGACACAAAUACAUGCAGGGGGCAGAGCUGGUUGGGGAUAGCUUUAAGGAAACCUCAGUGAUGGCUUUUGGAAUGUGCACAGGGUUGGAACUCAGUCCAACCAAUUUCUACCAGUCUGCACUGAGCUAGGAGUGGCUGAAUGAAGCAAGCUGCAGUUCUGCCUCUGGGCUUAUCCUGCCCUACUCUAAAAUGGCCCCUGGCCAAUUAUCCACUCCUGUGGGAGGACUGAGUCCUCUACAUUCACUGCCAGCCAGUACAGUUCUCUAGUCGGCUGCUCCCCUCUAGCACUGGGUCUCCCCACAGAGGCCUUUGGGCUUGCCAUCACCACCUUCACUCUGACCCUGCAUCCCCAGGUUUCAACAGCUUUUCCUGCCUGGUGGUUCUGGCUCUGGGUACUGCCGGCUACUAUCUUCUUCUGUUUAAGUUUUUCUUUUUUAAAUUCUCGCUGUGGGCUUCAAUUCUCACUUUAGUUUUUUCCUGGGUUGGGGAGACUCACUUCUGUCUUUCUUGUCUUCCUUGCAAUGCUACAUUGCAGCAUCUGGAUUGUUUCUCUCAGAGAGGCUGCUUACUGUUCCACCAUCUUCAUGGACUCCCCAUGCCGCCAUUUUAGAGCCUCUUAGUUGUCAAAAUGCUUCCUCCAAAACCCCUGUCUUACACAGUGAAUCAGCACAAUUUCUCCUUUGGCACAGGAGAAGAACAGCAUUGUUAAAUCGGUGAAGGUGCUCUGUCCUUAGCCUAAGCCCUUUAUAUUUGCGUGAUGGCUGCCAUAGUUCCAGUCACCACCCACAGAUAUAAUAGUGUCCAGAGGGAGCAGGGGCCAUUUCUUCCUUGUAUCCUCUUAAGAGUGGAGAGUCUUCUCCGAGAUGCUUCUGAGAGGACUUUCCUUGUUUAUUGGCCUGGAUGCAUGGAACCUAAGCUAAUAUUGCUAAGGGUAAUCGAACCACCCUGGCUGAUUUAGAUCAAGUAGGAGUUUCCAGCUGAGGCUGGGGAUAGAUAGAUACUAUCUUCACUGAUGCACCUUGGUUUACAGAAUGGGGAAGAUGUGAAUAAAUGAACUCCAGGUUUGUCAGGAGGAAAGAAGGAACUGACAUAAGGGAUGCAACCUGUUGUAUUGUCAGUAAGAGCAAAAGGGCAAGAAGAGCAAUGGCCACCAGAAAGGCAGCAGGAUUUGGUGGGGAACUCCUCUCUAGGCUUUGAACAUUCCUUAGAGCAGAAGCAGUCAGGGAUCUUCCUUCUUGUGGCAGAAACAGGCUUGGAUUUGCUGCUGAGGACUUGGGUCUCCUGUCAACACAUCAAUUUUGAGGCAAAAGCAGAUAACAGCAGCAUUGCCAACUUGGAAGAGAUGGCUUUUCUGUUCUGUAGCCCAGUUUGGAUAUCUUCCACUCUCCUCCAAACCUCACCCCUUGAGAACCUUGCAUACUUCAUGAUGAAAGCUUUGAGCAGAUGGGAAUACUGGGCAUGGGUUGUGGUUUAGUGUGUUCUGAGUCCAUAGCUUUAGACUUGAGCAUGGUACAUAUUAGUUACUUUAUCAAUAAAGAAAGACACUGUCCACCCUGCUAGCCUAGGAAGCUGUUGUGAGGAUUAAUGAAUGAAAUAUUGUUAAGAACGUACUUGCACAUGGGCACUAAAUAUUUGUUUUCCUUUGGAUUAACCAAAUCCAUCUACUCAUUGUUCUCUAAAGUCACUCAUUUUGAAAUAUUUUUACCUUUACAGGCAGCUUCAUGAACAGCUGUUCAUCCUUUCUUUUUUCUACUCUGCCACUUCCUCCAUCUGAAAUGCUUUUGCCUUGUUUCCUUGGUUCUUAUUUACUGUUGAGUUUGACUUUACCACAGACUUUUUUAUGAGGGCCUCUCCUCUCACACAGAUGUCAGCACGUCAUUCUCUGAAGGAUCCUGUAGAGUGGAGAACAUUGUAAUUUGCCCUCAUUGUGUCAGAAGGAGUCUUGGAAGGUUAACACUGUCUGGGAGAUAAGUGGAUCACUGGAACUGUGGAAUCAGAAGGCUGUCAGUGAAGGAGAUGUCCAGGACCAAACAAAAGACAAAUGUACACUGGCAGCCUUUGGCUAGAGUCCUGGUCUCUCACAUGGUGUUUUUCUUGAGUUAUAUAUGUUAUUUAAGCAUCAUGUUUUUCAUUUUUCAAGAGGAAUCCACACCUAUCCUUCUUCUUUUCUCUCUUCAAUGAGAGUGUAAAACCUCACAAGUCAGAGACCAUUCUUAUUUUAUUUAUAAAUUUGGCAAUUACAGCCAGCUCAUAGCAGCACAAUAACCUGGCACAAUAACCACUGGUUGAGAAAUGAUUGAGUAUAAAAUAAGAAAACAUAGAUGCUUAGGGUAAGAUACAAUACGAAGUAUUAUCCCUUCCCUUCCUGCAUGAGCUUCUCAUGGAUCCCAAUAGAGACUAAUGAUACCACUGAUAAAGGCUGAGAGGUCACCUAUUCUUUGGACUGUACACUAUGAAACUGUUUUAAUUAAAAUCUGGAAUGUGUGAGAGCAAGGGAAGACCUAUCUUGUAUCAGGCUGUACCUAUGUAUUUUGUCUUCAGGUUGUCCAAUAUCUAAUGGCAAAUGAGUAACAUGCGUACCUCUCCCUGUCUCCUCUGCACUUAGGGCAGACAUUGUUAAUUGAUAUGACGCUUAUGCACUGAGUUUGUACGUGGCUUCUGCAUUCUUUUCAAACCACUUUUACAGGCAGCUAAUACUAAUUGCUUAGAACUGAUACUUAAAUUUAAGUCUAUUUUCUAUCCUUCUUAAUCUUAAUUCCAGUAUAGUUCUUUUUUUUGUUUUUUUGUUUGUGAAUUUUUCAGAAAGUCUCUGUCAGUGGAAACUCCAUAUUCUCCUGCUGUUAAUCAUGUCUUUGUUCUUUUUUGUUUUUUGGCCACUGAAAUGUUCUUAUAUCUAAUUCAAUCUUUCCUGCAGAAAAAAAUAGAGCCGUUCUUAUUCUUCAACUGGAACAAGUAUCUCAAAGAAAUAUGAUUUACUUUUAUGUCUACAAAAUAAGAGAACUAUCAAAGGAGAAAUGAAUCAGGCCAGCUCGGUGAGAUUACUGUGGAAUUUAUUAGAACUAAACCCCUAUGCAUAGAAGGGCUGCACCUGGAACCCAAAUUCACUUUCAGUGUACUGCUUUUGUUUCCGUCAUAAAUUUAGGCACACUUUAGAAAAAAAUAAUUUCAAGACUUUAUAUUUUCUAAUUGAUUUAUUACCCUGGAAUCAGUUCAGAAUCACGGAACAGGAGUGAUUAAAAAGCCAGGAGCACUGAUUUACGAUGAAAGCUUAGGGCUGAAUAAGAUCUGCACCUUUGUGAAUCGGGGAGGCCCAGCCAGACGUCUUCACUGCUGGAACGACCUGGGGAUGUGCAAGGGCCAAAGCACGAGACCCAUUAUUGCACUUGGCCAUCAGAUUUUUCAAAAGGGAAAGUUUAUUUAUUUAUUUAUUUAUUUAUUUAUUUAUUUUUAAAUGAAAAAAAUUCAGUCAGGCAGCUUGAUUCUCAUGGGUUAGUGGCUGUCCCUAAACACUGCAUACUCAAGAUUGCUGAUGGACCAAGGCUGAGAUAAGGAACUGGCAAUACUUCUGCAUUUAUGGGAAAAAAAAAAAAAAAAAAAGAAAAAGAAGGCACCUUCCACCUUGCCCUUCCAUUCUCCUCUCUCUAGCAGCCCAUCUGUUUUAAAUAUAUGAUUUGGGGGAGAUUUUCCUCUCUUUGUGUCUCUGGAAAUAAAUUGAAACUCAGCAACACUAAACAUAAGAAAUGUAACAAUCUAAUUCACUGUGGAGAAUGCUUCUUGUCAAAAACAUUGUGUCUGUGGAUUACAAGCAUGCACAUAAGCACGCACACAUGGGCAUUUACAUGAUUAGUUCUUCCAGGUUUUGGGCUUAGCAAAUCUUCUCAGAUUCUUCAGAAAAUGGGUAAUAAUAAUACCAACAAAACGGCUUAUAUAUUCUUUAUGUUUUUUUAAAAAUCCUUUGAUUUUAUUUGUAUUAUUCUAAGGAUGUACAUCUGUCAAAUAAAGGUAAAAGCUAUUUCUUUGCUUCAUAGCAUGCAUUUAAAAUGCAUUCAUACCCAAAGUGUUAAAUGAUUAUUUAUGAUGCAUUUCUUAUUACUUAGUUGUUUAGGGGGAAAGAAAUGCUUUAAAGAAUUGGAGAGAAUCAUACUGAGUUGAAAGGUACUAAUGCUGAGGAUGGGAACCUCAGCCAUCUCAUAUCACUGUAUGGCUGGGUCCUCUCAGGGGUGAGGUGAGGGCAGGAUGGAUGCUCUUUGUCCUUCUCAGAGAUAGCUCUAGGGGAAGUCAGUGACGCUAACCCAGGCGAAGCUGAAUUUAAGAACACUGGAGAAAAUAAAAUUUUAAAAUCUGGAAGCAGAGGGUUUGCAAAAGGAGUUGGUUUGAUGAGUGAAUUGAGUCAAAAGGAUGGGCAGGUCCCAGGAGAUCUUGAGGGGGCCUCACUUAGGGUCAGGGACAGAAGUAAACUCUUUGUAUAGAGGACUUGAAGGUGGGGAAAGACAGGGCAGCGAAUGAUUCAGGGUCAAGCACUUGGUGCUGCCAUGUGGCACAACCUCAGGCACUGUCAUUCUUCUUGUUUUCAACAAGAACGGGGCCUCCUGGGAUUGGGGACACUGAAGUGCUGAAAAGCAUUUCAUAAACACUUUCUGAGCUUCUGAGCUUUUCAGAAGUGCUCACAAAGAGUUUCUGAUGGAGCAACAUUUAAGUUAACCCACAAUGAUAUAGAAUUAACUAGAAGGUGGAAUGAAGAAAACUCUAGGUCUGACAAAAGCAGCUGCAAAGGUAAGGGAGUCUACAAGGACACGACCUGCAGAUGACAAGAGAGAGCAUAGGGGACCGAGGUAGAAGUGUUGGGGGGGAGGGGGGCCUAGGCACUGAUCUGCAGAGAGCCAGGAAUCGUACACUGGACAAUGGGCAUCAUUCUGCAGCAUGUGGUACCACGGAAGAACAGAUGGAGUUCCUCCAUCAGAGAAUGAUGUGGAGACUGUGUUGUCAAUAGCAUGGAGAACAAAGGUAGACCAAGGAGGAACCCAUUGAAAUAACCUGGGCAAGGAGUAGUGAGGAUUGGAGCAAAGCCACCCAGCAGGAUGGAGAAGCAGCAGGGCCAGGACUUCACAACAGUUUCCCUCAGAUUUCCUACGCCUGUGUCCUUCAGAGCAGUCAGGUUGGAAUCUUUGAGAAUCGUGUUGUUGAGGUCACUGCUUGCUGGCAUGUGAAAACAGCCAGAAAGGAUUUAUUUUUAACUUGCUUAGGCAUAGAGAUUGAGAAAUAUCUAGAGCAAUAUAACCUGGCACAUUUUUCAUCAUCUGGAAGAAUAAUUCUGCCUUGUUAAUAGUAGGACCCAUUUUCACAUUGCUUUUUCUCCUUAGUAGUUUAUUUUAUUCCUAUUUACUUAAAAGAUGGAUUUUGUAUACAUAUGUUUAAGAGUUGAGAAUAUACUACAAAACAAUUUUGGCAUUCUACUUUCCCCCUUUAACCUUCCAAGUAUUUUCCAUUCAUCAAAAAUUCUUAGUAAACAUAAUUUUGAAUGAUUUCAUAAUUUCUUUUGUACUACUAUAUUUGUACCAGUUUAUUUAUUUAUUUAAUUUUAAAGAGAAUAAAACAAGAGAACAGAACAAAGCAAAUCAUAACAGAACAAUGCAAGCAACACAGCACUUCAUAAGGCAAUGAGACAUCAGUAGUAAAGUAGAAAUUUGAUACCGAGAUAGAUAUCAAGAUAGAAAUUUGGUACCGAGCAGUGGGGUCAUUUGCUGUGACUAUACCUGGCCAUGUUUUUCAAGAGGCUUUGGAAAUGGCUUGUGGGCGGAGUUUGGAAAGGUUUGGACAUGUCACCUGGAUGCAUAGAGCUGGAGCAGCUUAGGCUGUUCUGUAGAGGAGAUUCUGGCCAGAGCUCAGGAGACCAGAAGGCUGAUGAUAAAAAGCCUCUUGGUAAAGACCAGGCUUGGGAGGUUUCUGCUGGAAAGGACUGCAUUGGUCGUUGGACUCCACAUGAUGUGUGUUAUGGCUUAGCAGAAACUUUAUCUGCAUUUUGCUCCUGCCCAGAGACUUUGUCUGAGACUGAGACAAAGGGCAAUGGACUGAUUAAUCUUGAAAAAGAAAUUAAAAAGCAACUAAAUGUUGAGGCUGUGGCAUGGCUAUUGUUGGCAGCUUUUAGCCAGCUUUAUGUUUCAAAUCAAAAGCAAAGAGCCCAGCAGGAUAAUUUACAAUGCUGUGAGUUUGGCCUGAAGAAAAAGUCCAGGAAGGGUGUGGAUUGUAAAGACAGAGUUGAGAUUUUGAUUCCUGAGGAGAAACAGAGAGAUAAGAAAGAUGGCCCUGGGGCAUCCCAGGAAGCAAGUCCCCACCCUGUGCAGCCUCAUAGCAAAGAUGAAAAAUUUUGCUCAGAGAAAAAAAAUCUACAGAGUGCCAUGCUCCAGAAUGGCGACAGAGGCCACGUGAGGUUCCAGAAUGGCGGCAACACAGAGAAGCUUUUCAUCACAAUCAGGUAGACAGAGCCCUGCGAUCCAGGCAACUGACCCCUACAGCCAAGAGAGAGAAAAGCCUGGCUACUGCUUCAGCUAACAGCAAACCUUGGCGGCAUCCACAAGGUGUUGAUUUUAGGUGCAAGGAAAAUGCACGAAUUCUGAGGGUAAGACGGCUUCCACCUCGAUUGCAAAGGGCCUGGGAGACCAAGCAGUGUGCCCCUGAGAGGGCAAUUUGUGCAGAUGUAAUGGUGAAGCCGAAGGUGCAGUGGAGACCCCAGAAGUUUGGAAAAGCCAGGAAUGUGGAUGAUCCAAGGGAAGCUGCAAAAAAGCGAGCAGAGAAGAUUUAAGAGAAAAGCUGCGGGAGUUGAAAUCACCAGAAGUGCCGUGGGGGUGGAAUCACCUAAGCCUUUUGGAACUUGCAACCAGAUUGCUUCAGAUGCUGAGCUUGGAACUCUAGGACUUAAUGUUCAUCCUACUGGAUGUUGGACUUGCUUUGAUUCCAAUGCUUUAUAUUCCCCUGUUUGUAACUUUUGGAAUGGUAAUGUUUAUCUUGUGCCUUUGCAUUUCAGAAAAGUUUAACUUUGUUUCUUUUGUACAGGGGCUUACAGUUAAGAGUUUGCCAUAGAUCUUGGAGGAGACUUGGGACUUGGACUUUUCAGCAAUGUUGAAGCUGUUAGGACUUUGGCAACUCUUGGAGGUGGACUAAAUGUGUUUUGUAUAAAGGAUGUACAUGAGUCCUGGAGGCCAGGGGUGGAAUGUCAUGGUUUAUGUUUGUGUCCCCCAGGACUCAUGAGUUUGCAUUGUUCAUAUGUGAUGGUUCAUUGUAUAGUGCUUGGAUUGAUGGUGUCAGUGCUCCACCCACAUAGGGGUGGAGCCAGGAUGUGAUGUAAUGGCAGGAAGAAGGUGUGUUUUUCUCUUUGCUGGUUGGAGUUUGCUGUUCGCGGCCGCCAUGAAUUGCAGCCCAGUCAUGCCUGCCUGUCUUGGAGCCAACUGAGUGUGGACUGAAACCUCCAAAAACUGUAAGAAAUAAACCUUUCCUUUCCCAA